rnacentral:lncRNA from 1 species
CCGGUGUGCCUCCCCAAACAAUGCUAUGAAUCCGUGUCGAAACGAGUCCAUAGUUGAUGAUAGUUUUGAGGAGUAUGUCCCUGAUACUAUGAGCCAACCACCGCUUUUGAGCCAACAACUUUAAUUGAAGAUGAAUGAUAGUGAGCAUGUCGAUGAACAAGAAGUUGAGGUCAAUGUUCACACGGAGGGUGAUGGAAUUGAUGAAAUGGAAUAUGAUGAAGGCACGCAUGAUGAUGUUUCCGAGAGGGAGGAUGAGAUUCAUGACAAUGAUGUUGGUGAUGUGGAGGCACAUGUGGAAGAAGAGGACAUGGACCGCGACAUCCCCUACUGUGAUGCCUUUAUUGAAGGCAUAUGCAUAAUCGUACGACCACUCACCGAUGUAGCUCAAGACCAGUGACCUGGGUUUCCGGCGGGGUGCGUUGCAAGAUACCAAAUUGAGCGGCGACCCGUUGUGGAAGGUGCCACUCGACAGUGUAAAAGCAUAUCAUCUGCACCCUUGCACUCCAAAGGUGUUCAUCACGCAUGCACAUUUCAUUCAAAUUUCAAGGCCUCUCACCUGAGUAAGGCAUCCGGUUGACCUACAACAUAUGGCAUUACUUCUUAAGUAAGGCGUCACAUCAUACUUGACCGAAAACUAAUAUACCAUUACCUGCUGGUGAGUGAGUGUGUCCAGCUCAUUGAUGUAGGACUUGUACCGCGCCAUUGACGAGGUGUAUCCCUCCACCUAUCCCACGAGUACGCUACGGUGGGACACAUCUCCGGGUCCGCCUCAUCCAAUUCUUCAAAUGGAGCCGGAUCCAAUUUGCAAGGGCGUCCAACCGCAUCCGCUCCCACGCUGAGCCUAUCUUCCUACAACAUGCAUGGUCCAGCUGCAAGUUCAAGAACACAUGUCAGUUUAUGAUAUUCAUAGAUAAAUAUUAAACAGGAAAUAGACGAUACAAGCAAGUACCUGCGAUAUAAAUAUGCAAGCCCUGCUGAAGCCCAACUAAUCUUGGCGUCCCAAUCUAUGAGCUUAUCCAAAUACAUCCAGGACAAGGUCUCCCCUGUCCCAUCUGGAAACAUCACCGUCGUAAGCACGUACCACAGGUAAGCUCGGACGUACUGCUCCACAGUAGCCUCAUCCGCAUCCGGUGGGCAUCCAUUUCGAUUGGCUCAUAGCCAAGUGUACAAGGCACCGGAUGGCCUCGGAUCCUUAACUCCUUCUUCAGGCGCGGGGGAGCAAACACCUAUCAAGUUUGUGACCCGCUGCCGCCACCCGUUAGGAACGACCACGCCUAUGAGAGCUUCUCCAUCGAUUGGAAGCCCGGUGAUCAUCGCGAAAUCCUGCAUAAUGACCGUCAUCUCCCCACACGGCAAGUGGAAAGAGUGCGUCUCCGGCCUCCAACGAUCCACCAGAGCGGAGAGAACCGUGGAGUUGAACUUUGGCAGGACCUGCUUGAACUAGAGGACGAAGCCAAGAACCCCCAACCUGCGGAAGAAGGGGGCGUACCGUGAAUCAUAUAUCAUUUGGGAGGCAUUGUGGCCCCUCAUCCGGAUAGGAGGAAAAAUCUGCAAAACACAUUUAACUAAUAAAUAACUUGUUUAAUUCAAACGAGUGAAAAUGUAACGAUCUUGCUUAUUACCUCUCCAUUUUCAAUCGCCGCACCACGAUCAUUAUAAUCAUAGGUACUAUCAAGCCCUGGAUAUCGUGUCCUAUCACCCAUCCUGCGAAUAUGAAUACAUAUGUUACUGUUAUAAAUUCAUCACACACCCAUUGCAUACCUAGGAAUUGUUGAAAAAUUGGCAUGAUGUCAUUUAUAUAUUGACUACACAGAUAUCUAAACUUACAUUCAUACAUUUCUACUAUGAAUUCAUCACAUACAUACAUUGCAUCCCUAGGAAUUGCACAAGGAAAAAAAUAAAGCAAAUAAACAUUGUACAAACAUGCAUCUGAACCACACAUUGCAUUAGGCUAAUACAUACAAACGUUCAAUACAUCCAUUACACCAAUCAAAUCUUACCAUGCCUAGGGUUUGAACAUCUCAACAAAUCAAAUCUUACAAGUCUAGGGUUUCAACCAAAUCAAUCGAUGUGGACAAAAUUAACCGGCAAAAUACAGAGAAGAGGGUGCGAUUUACCUUAGGAAUUGAGAGAUUUGAAAAUCCCUCAAAAACUCACUUGGAUUUGGGGUGGUUAGGAGGGGGAUUCGUGAGGGGGGGGGGGGGGGGGAGAGGAAGCCGAGAGCCGCGCCUCCCUGGCGGCCGCGCCUGUGAAGUCCAACCGAGAGGAAGGAGAUGGGAAAGAGGUGGUGGGCCGAGAGUUAUGGGGCGGCAACGCUAGAAGGUCUGGCGUUUCGGCGGAUGCCACGUAGACCGAGUCAACAGCGAGCCUCGCUCCGCUGACCCAACGCCACGUCGGACGCAACGCUAGAAGCGAAACGCCAGCGUGAGUGGCGUUGCCGAAAAGGGUCGUUUUUGGAAUUAGUUUCGAAGAGGGGUUAUUUCGGGCUCAACUUCCACAAAAGGGUCAGUUUUGUCAUUUUGGCCGAGAUUUUAUUGCUCCUUCUCGUGAUCUUUUGCUGCUUCAUUCUCCAUCUUGGUACCUACAAUUAGGCAUCUGGUUUUUGGAAACACUUGUAGAGGAGAAGUAAGUUUCUUGUUAAGUUAGCAAAUUGUUUCUGGAUUUCCAAAUACACCAAAGAAAGGUGAAAAUGUUUUGAAUAGAAGCCUAGGGAUGUCCAGAUCUCACAAUAGCAGCUACGAAAAAGGAAAAACGUGUCGUCCCUCGCGUCGCUCCUCCUGGGCGACUCCGGGGAGCACCCCAGCCCUUACCGCCGCCCCCUCUCCUCCCUCGCCGCCGCCUGAGGCACUCGCCGGCAAAGCUCGGCGCGUGGCUGACGAAGGGGGCGGCGAGGUCUUGCUAGGAUUCGCGCGCCCAUGUCUCGCCGGCCAUCCUUGAAGCUCGAGCUCGUCGUCGUCGAGGCGCUUCCCGGCAGCUCCACCAUCCCCUUCCACGGAUCCGGCGGCUGCAAAUCCGGAUCCGUGGGAGCCUCAGCCCGUGCAGUUGGCCGCCGUCCUCCGCGUCCCGCGCAGCCCCAAUGAGCUCCCCAUCUCCGGCGGCGGCUCCCAUGUCUCGAAUCUGGCAGCUGCCGGACCUGCAACGUGCUGGCCUGGUCUGCAUCUGGUCGUCGGCGCCGCCGGCCUUCGUCCUCACGCACCCCAAGGCCUCCUCCACACCCGCCAUGGUGCUCGUUGCCGUUGUGGGGCUCCCAGGCCAGAUCCUCCGUCCUCCUCCCCGGAUCCGGCGGCUGCCGGGCAAGACCUGGGAGGAGCACCACCGCAAGCCCGGUACCCUACCUCCGGCCCGUGCGCAUCCAACCCCAGCCAGCCACCCUGCCGUCCCUGCUCCUCCACCUCGCCUCCCCGGGUCCGUGCAUCCUGCUGUCCUCCUCGCCCGACUAGUUCCGGCGUGCCUGCCACGGCCCCCAUGCCCGAUGCAGAUUCUGUGGCUCCAACGCCGGUAUCAUCCUCUGUUUCGCCAUCCUCCACCCCACCGAGCCACCCCUUCUCAGAUUGCUAUAUUUAUCUAAUUUUCAUGUUGAUUAGAGUGAUGUUGUAUACAACUCUUUUCCCUCCUCGUCUCUCCCUCCGUCGGCUGUGGCUCAACCGCGCAUGCCGUCGGUAACCAUGGUUUGUAGAUGGCAGCUUUGGUGGCGGCACCGUUUAGUCUAGGACUUGGAGGUGUCUAUACAACCGUUUCUGUUCCAGGAUCCAUGGAUUUGCAGAUGGCGGCCAUGGAGGCGACAUCCUCCUGAUGGAGAUGGUCGUGAUAGAGUGCGUGUGUGCCGUUAACGGCCGAUCUGAGAUCCAUCCACCUCUAGUUAGCUACUCUAAAUCUCCAACAAACCUUUGCUUGGUUGCCUUUGAUGUCAUCCUAUAGUCGUCGUAUGUGCCCUUCUUCUAAACUCCGGUAAACCACCCCCUUUUGGGGAGAUACCUUUCAUUAGUGGCACUCUUUGAGAGCAUGUGACCAUCCUGUCACUCUUCUCCUUCUCUCGGAAUAACCACCCUCCGGUGGAUGAUUUGUGCGACAUUUACGCGUGCUCGAUGAGCCCCGCUGUUUAUUGUUUUUCCCAAUGAUGCAUCGGUGCGGCUUCCUGAUGAUGAUGUGUUGGUUUUUCCGGCUUAGUGUCAAAGCUUUGGUUUGAGCUCUCUAGUUAUCCCCCCGCCCCCCUCCCCGCACUCUGGUGUUGUCUGCGACAGUCCUCCUCCUACUGCUCGUGAUACCCUGUUCACUGAUUACAAUAUAGCCUAUGUUACAUGCUUAGCUCCUGUGUAGUGGGUUUAUUGGUGUUGUGUUGUAAUCAUGUACUGGGUUUUUUGGUUUUCCUAUGUUUGUUGCUUCGGCAAGUUGUAUUGCCCAUUGGGGUUUCUUUUCAGAAUAUAUUCGGGUGGGGUUUUCAACCCCCCAACCCCCCCCCCCCCCCGCCCCGGUUGAUGCAAAAAAAACAAUAGCAGCUACAGUAUCAAGAAUGGAAUUGUGCUGAUGGGGAGCAUAAACUUCAGUAUGAAUGGAAUUAUGCUGAUGAGGAGCAUAAACUGCAGAUCUUAAGUAUACCAGGGAGCAGUGAGCUAGGCACCUGUCUGAACUCUGAACACGCUUCGUCGACGGCCACUACUCAGUACUACUCUCUCCGUUUCAUAAUUCUUGUUUCGAAUUUGUCCAAAAAUAAAUCUAUCUAUUACUAAAAAAAUCUAAAUACAUGUAAUAUUUCGACAAGAAUCAUGGGAGCGAGUACAUCCGUGUCACGCUGCCGCGGCCACCGACCGAGGUUGAAACAAAGUUUUAACACCGACGCUGUAGUGCCGUGCCGCUAGUGCAGCGCCACACGCGCGCCCACAGGUGGCCGGCACAGGCAAUCGCACCCGUACUUGCAUUGCAUUGCACUUCACUGUGGCGCCGCGCUCGCCCGAGCGCAACAUUGCACGCUGUGCGACCUGCGCGGGGAUGGGAUAUUGGGAUGUCGCCGGGCACGUGGUGGCACGCACUUGCCAAGUGCGGCGGCUGCUGGAGCUGGACGGGAAGGGAAGCUGGGCAAGGGCUCCACCAGUCACCCACCCUAACCGGCUGCCCCGGGCGGGGCCAGGGACCGGCGCAACGAAAAGCGAUCGAUCGAUCCGCCCCGCCCCGCCGUGCAGCGAGUACAGGCAGGCAGAGGCCGCGUCAAUUGAACGCACUCCACGACGCCUGCCUGCUUUCAACAACAGUUCACUUCAAUGCGUCCUCAUGUCAUGUGCCUCCCAGUCCCAUGCCAUAACUUUACCCUGCUACACGGAAAAACAGUACUGCACUCCACUGUGAACUGCGGUGCAUGGCAUGGUAGUUGUACACUUGUACAGUACUACAGUCUACACGACCCAAUUCAGCAGAAAGGGCCUUGCAGGCAGGCAUGUGCUCCGAUCUCUGAAGAAAGUGUUGUGCUGAAAGCAUGAAAGAUACAUGUGUAGUAGUGCAAAUAGAUUGGGCUGGGAUUGGAUUGGCCAAGCUGUUGCAAGGACCAGCCAAUAAUUCACGUCCACCAUUAUUGUUGCGAAGGAUCGAUUCGAUAUAGAGAGAGCCCAUUGAUUGUUGUGGUCUAGUAGUGGGGAAGCGACUCCGGCUUCGAUCCAUCCAUCCAUUGAUCGGCCUCUCCUGCCGUCCUUUUUAAAAGCUUGCCAACUAAUGACAGGCAGCGGGUGCAACGGAUGAUCUGUUGUGUAUCCAACUGCAACCAUCUCGUUCUUCUUGGUUUUGUUUUGUUUUUUGAUGGAGGCAGGAAGGAAGGUGUACCGGGAAGGGGAAGUUAUGCUCGGCAAGUACGCCUAACCAUACAUACGUACAUACUGGCACGCAUUGACGCGUUCUUCAUCAUUGAGAUUUGGCCUUUGGGGCAGGAGCAGCAGCACACUCGGAUCUUCGGGGCAAUCUGACCGAUGUGCUGCCAACGUACGCACGUCCAUGUUCGUGUUGCUUUCUAACAUAAAAUCUUUUGUUUUUGCGGUACGGAAAAGUCGUGCUUGUUCGUUUUGAGAUUGUGCUAUUGAUUACACUCCCUUUCUUGACGAAUUCAGGUCAUCUCUUACUUGAAGCUCUCUUUUUUCACGUCGGUGUGACUGAAUAACUGUUAGGUGAUUGAUUAUAUAUGUGUGUGUGACCCGCGCACGAUCGAAGCAAAUUCAACUCAAUCAUGCUGUAAUUACAUAUUGCACAGGUCCGUCUCCUAUCGCCAACAUCUCUCAACACACGCAGCUAAUCGAAAGAAUUCUGAAGGAAGAAGAAUCAAGAAAUUCAUGAAACUUCAAAAGAAUAUAAAACAGCACACGGUAACCGCCCUAACACAAACACAAGAAAAUAUUUUCUUUCUUUCUUUACCCGCAGAACCUUCCAUAAGUUACCGAGCAGUCACCGUGAAAUGUGGAGCAAACUUCAGCUAUCCCGGAUCGAGCCGGCGGGCUUGAGCGGCCGGUCGUCGGCCUCGUCGACCGACACGCUCCGUCCUGGCCGCGACAUCGAGUGCCCCGACGACGCCGGCCCGCCGAGCUCGUCGAUGCGGACGACGAUCUCCGGCAUGGCGGGCCGCUGCUCGGGUACCGGCACGGUGCAGUCCAUGGCGAGCCGCAGCAUCUCCACCAUCUCCUCCUCGGCCCCCGGGUGCCUGAGCAGCUCCGUGUCGAACACCUCGGACGUCCACUCCUCGCGCACCACGGAGCGCGCCCACCGCGGCAGGUCCACGCCUUCGUCGUGAAGCACGGCGUUCGUCGGCGCCUUCCCCGUCAGCAUCUCCAGCAGCAGCACCCCGAAGCUGUACACGUCCGCCUUCUGCGACAGCCGCCGCGGGUCGGCGACGACCUCGGGGGCCCGGUACCCCGCCACGCGCAUCGACGGCGCGCCCGCCGGGCCCACGAGGCCUGCCAGGCCGUGGUCCGCCACGCGCGCCGCGGCGUCGCCCCCCGACGACCGGCCGCCGCCGCCCAGGAGGAUGUUGGACGACUUGAUGUUGCCGUGCGCCACCUUGGACCCCGUCGCGUGGAUGUACUCCAGGCCGCGCGCCGACGCCAGCGCGAUCCGCCGACGCGACUCCCAGCUCAGCGGCGAUCGCCCGGAGCCACGGUUGCCUGAAAUUGUUUCGUACCAGUUCAGAAAUCUUCAAUCCGGUUCGAAUAAAAGUGUCGAUUAACCACGAAAGCUUGAACGACGAGCGUUACGUACCGUGAAGCAUUGAGGAGAGGCUGCCGGUGGCGACGAACUCGUAGACCAUGAGCCUCUCGUCCUUGCUGAAGUAGUAUGCCUGCAGGGGCACCACGUUGGGAUGGUCCAUCCCGCCGAUCCCGGCGAUCUUGUCCCGGAACUCGCGCUCCGGAAGGGAGGUCUCCUUGAGCCGCUUCACCGCCACUGCCGGCGCGGAAUCGAGCGCGGCCUUGUACGUGGUGCCGUAGGUGCCCUUCCCGAGAACCUCGGCGGACGCGCGCAGCAGGUCCUCGAGAUCGUACGGCCUCGGCACCCUCCCGAAGAAGAAGAGCUUCUUCCGCCCCACGGCGACGGGGGCCACCGGAGGCGGCAUUGGAGCUGCUACAGGCGGCGGUGGCGGCCUCGCGUUGGAGACCCGUGGAGUGUACCCGUUCGGGCUCAUGGCUUCCUUGCUGUGCAGGGCCAGCUCCGCCGCGACGGCGUCCUGGCUGCGGUGGGUUCUUCUCGCCUCGCUGCUGCGCAUGGCGCCGCAGACGAGGACGAGGACGGCCGCGAGGAGCAGCAAGCCAGAAGCGGAGCCGAUCACAAUGCCAGCGAUGGCGCCGCCCGCGAGGUGCCGCCGGCCUCGCCCGGGGCUGUUUGUGGCUCCCGUGGCUUCGGGCGGCGGGAGCCCGGGAGCCGUGGACGGCGGUUGGGAAGACGGCGUCUGACACGAGGGGAGGGGAUUGCCGCACAAGCGCGGCAUACCGAGGAAAGACGCGGCCGGCAUGGCGCCGAAGCUUUUCGGGAUCUCGCCCGUGAGGUUGUUGAAGGAGACGUUUAGAGCGGUGAGGAACGGCAUGGUGACGUCCGGCAGCUCGGAUGUGAAAAGGUUGCCGUCCAGGUAGAGCAGCUGCAGCUUCCCGUUGUUGGCGAUGGUGGGCGGUAUCUUCCCCGAGAAGCGGUUCUCGGCGAGGUUGAGCUGCGUCAGCGCCGGGAGGGAGAGGACGGCGGCGGGGAGCUCGCCCGAGAGGUGGUUGGACUGCAGGUUGAUGACCCGCAGCAGGACGCACGAGGCAAGGUCGGCCGGGAUGGGCCCGGAGAGCGCGUUGUAGCGCAGGGAGAGCACGGCGAGCUUGUUGAGGCGGCCGAGGGCGCCGGCGGGGAAGGAGCCGCGGAGGCCGUCCCCUGGGAGGUGGAGCUGCGUGACGCGGCCGCCGGAACAGAUGAUGCCAGUCCAGGCGCACGUCGGCUGGGAUGUGUUCCACGACACGGACGCGGAGCCGAAGGGCGCGAGGAAGGCCAGCAGCGCCGCCGUGUCCGACGCCAGGUCGUCGGCGCCGCGGGCCGCGCCGACGGACAGCGCCAGGAGCAGCGUCAGCACGGUGGCUAGCGGCGGAGGCAUGGCUGCGCGAGUAAUCUAGUCUAGUCUCUCUUGGCUGAUCACACCAUGUGUGGGGAUGACAGAGGAGAGGGGAGAAGCAAGAAAGUAGAUUAACAGAUGGAAAGAACGUUUCCCAAACCCAAAUGAAUGCCUUCUCUGUUUAGCGACAAGGGGAGGUAGGUCAGGGCUAGAGGACUCGCUCCACGAAUGAUGUCUCCAAACUCGCAACGGCACGUCGAGACCUGGACGUGUUCAUGGCCGUCCAGUUAAACGUGUGGACGGUUCAGCUCACAACAAACACACUUGCCGCGGCUGUUGAUCGAUCCUACCUACGCUUCUACUCCGAGUCCUGCGUGUUGAUGCUGACAGCGUGAGAUUAUAAUCCUGGAGUAGUACUCCAACACAACAGUGCGUGAAAAUGAUCCGCGCAAUUGCAGCUAGCAGCCGGUUUGGACUUUUGUCACCUGCUGCAUAUAGCCCUAAAAAUGCGACUCGCUUGAUGUGAGGAGCUGUUGGAUGUGGACGGUGCAGGGCUUCUCGGUGGUGCAGAAACUGGAUAGACGACGCAGACUUUCUCCUGGCGCGCGCUCUGCACCACGACGAAGUAAACGGACGUGCGACCAAGUCCUGCUCCGUAACUGUCGGGAAGGUUAUGAGCGUGGUGGCCUGUUAAUGUCAUGACGCCGUGGGGGUGUAAUCGUUUGCAAAUUGUAUUUGUUAUCAUUAGUUCAGGAUUUAUUCCUCAGCAGCGUUGAACUGGCAACGUAACUUUCUUUAUACACAAGCCGCGUCGUGCUGCAGAAUUAAAUUGCCCAAACUAGUCGUAGGAAUAGCGGCUGAUGAAUAGUCAGUCACCGAGUCACGUCCUUUCCAACUGCAGCUUCCGGCCCUCUUCUCGUUACAGAAAGCUCGCCUCUGGCACUGGCAGGCGUAAUAACCUAGUGCAAAAACAUGGUCGAGCAUCAAACUUGCACGGAUGAAAUUCUGCAAAUGUCACGGCACGGAUUAUAUACUGGCCUUUGGCGCUUUGCUGACGGAAGUCCCGAUAGUUGGCUCUUUGUUGUGACAGUGUGGCACCUUUGGCACAAAAGAACUUGCCUGGCCUUGACGCAUACAGACCUGGAGGGAUAGCGCACACAUAGUCAUACAGAAUUAAAGAUCAUUCCGGCGGUGCCAGACAUAAAGAUUCCUCUACCUCUUGGUAUUAAAGUUAGACUUAGGGCAAUACACAGCACCAUCGUGGACUUUGGUCAUGCUCUAAUCCACGGCCACGGAGCCGUUGACCUUCUGUAUGAACCUGCUUGGUGGGGCUCCUUCAACCGCUCUCCUGGCUUCCAUCCAAAAGAUACCUUUAUUUCAACCGUAUGUACUGUAAAGUGAAAAGGUUUUAUUGAUAGUAUGAUGAUAUAGUCAUCUCCAUACGGGAUUAGGAGCCAACAAUCUGAUAUUCUGAUUGUAUGCUUCGUUUGCUGCUUCUUUUUUUACGGACGCCGUAGAUGAACAGAGCCUUAAUUUUUUGCUGAAUGACCACUGUACAUACAACUAUACAAGUAACUUCCCCAGCAAUGCAGGGUGAAUAUAGAUUUGUUAGUACUCUCCGUUUCAUAAUUCUUGUCGAAAUCUUACAUGUAUGUAGACAUUUUUUAGAAAUAGAUACAUCUAUUUUUAGACAAAUUUGAGACAAAAAUUAUGCAACAGAGAGUCACAGUCGGUAUAGAUUCCAACAAGGUGGCAACCAGUUUGUCAAUGAGUGGGGAGCAUUGAUCGCGAAACGAAAUCCCUGCUGUACUGGCAAAAUGCAGAGCAUAGAUCAUAGACCUUCUUCUAGCUAUUAGUAUGAGAUAGUGGUACUCCAAAGCUACGAUUAAUGCUCGAUCUGGGAUCUCAAGAUGAUCGCCAAGCUCGCUUUAUAAAAGCAAGCGGACCAGUGAUAGAAAUGGUAAGAGUAAAUGAGACCCGUACACACUACACACACAGGAGUGUACAUGCAUCAACAGUUCCACACACGCUACACGCGUCAGAGCGUGGCUUUAGGUCGUUGGUUGCCGGCUGAUGAGACGGCCACACGAGGGAUGUUUCGUCGGGGGAGAGUUAGGGAAAGUAUCCGCCGUCAUCUUCUGUUCGGGAUUCACAAGCUUGCUGCUACUAGGAGGUAGGAGUACCGUAGGUACGUGUGUCUCCAGUUUUGGCACACGCCGUACGCACUGGCGAUGCGAUGCCCGGCCUGGCGUGCGGACGUCCUGAUGGUGCUCACUUUCCGGACGCGUUUUUCACCGCACGGUCGGUUUCCAUGACAUCGACAACAGAUUCGUUUGGCGAUCUACUUCCAGUAAAUCCGGUGGAUAAUGAAUGAGGAUCGAAUAUCUGACGGAGUUUGAGCAGAGGUCGCUUUCGGUCUUUCGAUCAGAUUAUUAUCCGUUCCGGAACUCGAUCGUGUGGCAGCACUUUGUUGUUGCAAUACUUGUGUUUAGAAAUUCCAUCCUCGUAGGAAAUGACUUGACCUCGUGGCAGCCGUUUGGACUUGCUUGACCUGAACCAAAAUACCAAAUGAACGGCUGAAUCAUGAUGAAAGGAUGGAUAUGUGGCUCGGACGAUGGCGUGUCGCGGAUUCCACGGACCAUGGGAGUAUUUUUCUUUUUAGGGAAACCAUGGGAGUACAUUGAUGAACAGUAGAUGUGAUCCAUGUCUUCGUAGGAUCGUGUCGACUCUGAUGCUCCGUGCUCAGCAGCUCAGGGGAGUCAUGCUAUGGACGGUCCUAUAGUCUAGAACGGUCCUAGAGGACUCGUAGUACAGUUGAGCGUACAAGUUUUGUGUCAGAUGUGCCGGUGCGUUUGGUGACGCCAGUGAGUCCUCUUAAGAUUUGGCUUCCAACUUUUUUUUAAGCUUCGUUUGACUUCGCUAUAUCAACUUCUCGCUCUGUUUAUUUUGAGUUGUACAUCCUUCCUCCGUCCAACAAAAGAUAUCAUAAGUUUGUUAAAAUUUGGAUGUAUCUAGAUAUGACUUAAUGUAUAGAUAUAUUUAAAUUUAGUCAAAAUUAAGAUAUCUUUUGUUGGACGGAGGAAGUACAAAAAUUGUAAAGUCUUUUAUACUUGUAAACUUUUACAGACAAAUAAAAUAGCUUUGGUCACCCGCAUGGACUGCGCAGCUAGCAAUUUGUUAUAGGAGAUUAUUCAUCUAAACAAAAUUAUGUCUUACACACAAAAUGCAAAGUAUUGUUAUUUUAUUCCUCAUGCCAUAUGAUUUACUAAUUCAGGUUAGCUGGCUUCGUUUCUCAUGAUAUUCCCUUUUAUUAUAAAAUAAGACAAUUAGUUAAACUAAAUAUAGUUUCAUGUAUCACGCAGGGGGGAACCCAUGGCAAAAGAUGAUUGGGUGCACUGUUAAGAAAACGAAACCAAAGCUAGGUGAUUUUAAGAAAAAUGGGGACUAUUGGGGGGCGCGGGCAGGCCCACCACUCACAAAACUUUUUGAUGAUGUCUCAGACUGAGAAGAUCACAUUCCAGUAAUCCGCAAAAGAAAAUUCCUGAGCUCAUUCUACUUGUGCAAUAUGAUGUUUCGCCGGGACAUGGAUUUUUGGCACUUGAGACCCGGUGCUCACGGUAACGUGGAUCAAUCAAUUUCUUCGGUUUGGGCGUUGGUGGCAGAGCAGCCCGAACCUUUUUGGCCCAGUAGUAUGUACGAAAAAAUGCUGAGAUACUGGGCCGCCCAUGUUUUCAAAGGUGAGAACGUUUGAAUUUUCGGUCCAGGCCGGUGCAGGUCUGCGAGUUUUGUGUGAUGGGCAUAUGAAAGGUGCUGAUGAUGGGCCAUUCCGAACGAGGUGCAUGUUGAUGAUGGGCCAUUUCAAAUAACAUGUAAUUCCAGUACAAAUUUUUCCACCAUCUAAUGCCAUCGGCACAAGCACUCCCAGCACUUGAACGCCCGGGCCUUAUGGUCGAAACUGGAGUGCGCUGGCCACCAGCACGGACACUCUCAGGCCGAGCUCGUGCCGGCCUUGGGGACGAUGGAGAUUCAUCGUCUGAGAGCCACCAGUACAACGAGUGUUUUCGGCCAGCCAUGAGGUUGUCGUGUCAAAGUGUGGAGCUGUUUGCUGGUUGUGUGUGUAGCCCAGGUUGAUCGGUGAAGAGGAAAUGCAGCUUAAGGAGAGGCGACCCUCAGGGUACCAUUUGAUCAUCAUUAGUUUAAACAAAUGAACUAGAUUUUUUAAAAGGUUGUGUCAUUUUAAAAUUUUAAUUCAUUUGGUUGAACUAAAAAAGGUCAGAGGGUAUCCUGAGAGCCACAAAAUUACAGCUCUAGGCUUAAGCGAUAUUAAGCGGCGCUUAAGCGUUAGCGUUUGUACGGAUACUCCACAUACGGAGGCCUCACCGACAAGAAAAGAACUGGGCAGAAGAGUAGCAAACAACUCAAGCCAAGCACGAACUGGACGGAAGAGGAAACAUGAGGCGCGAUGGAGCGACGCACAGGGGACGAUAGAGCUGGUCGUCGAUCUAGACCUGCGGCGCGCGGCAGAUCGUGGAGUGGAAAUGAGGACGGAGGAAGAUAAGUGACAGACAGGGGACGGAGGAAGAGGUUGUCGUGGUGGUGUCACGGCAGAUGGCAUAUGAUGUCUUAAUUUGGUGUCGAUGGACGAAAGAGGAACCGGAGGAGGAAGGACGUGAAGGGAAACACGCACAAGUCACACAAACAUGCACUGAUUUACCCAGGUUCGGAGCCUUUUGUCGAGGUAAAACUCCUACUCCUACUUUAUUGUAUUAGCCGAGAUAGACAAGCUCUACAAUGACGCUCAUUCAGCUCUAUUCUUGAGGAAGAAGAAAAAUAAGGAGAAACUCUAAAUGCCUAAGUGCCCCGUCCCUUUCCACAGAGGGGUAAGGUUUUAUUUAUAGGCCGCCCAUGUCACACUGACAUGUGGGCCGAGUCCUAACGUCAUCUUCCUUGGGCCUUGCCGGGCACGCGGCUUGGUUCCCUCCGGUGGCACCGUAAGGGACAAGACAACUUUACUUUUCUCUGGCACCCGACAAAAAGUAUUACUAUCCUCUGCUGGCUUCCGUCAGAGAUUCUCUUUCGGUGCUUCUCUUGUGCAGUCGCCUCCCAUCGGUACGUAAGCGGCGACCGCCUUUUCCACGAUAAUGAUGACGCUCCUUUAUCCUCCGCCGCGUGGUCAAGAUAAGACCGUUGAGAGAUCUCGGCGUGGGCCGAGAUCAAGGUGCUCGUCCUUAUCCUGCAAGCUCAUAAGACAACAUAGUCAUGCCGGCACACGUCCAUGAUGCCGGCUUAGUGUUAGUUUGACUUUACAAUGCCGGCAUACAUAACCAUGCCGGCUUUGCCUCCGUCACCCCGGCUAGUGUUGUGUCGUCAUGAACCUACCCGGGGUCAUCCCCCCGACACUAGUCCCCGAAGCUGUUGCGGUCUGGCAGAGAAGAAUGUCGAGCCACGACAGUUUCCCAUAGACAAACCACCAAAGCCCGCUAGGGCUUAGCCGAGAAGGAUGCCGAGGCAGCCCCGAGUUCUCCUAGCCGAGAUCAACUCAUUCCGACAUUCCGGGUCGGCGUGUUUAACCAGCCCCUAGCCGAGAUUCUUUUCUUCUCCAUGGCCAACCGUUUAAAACUUACUUCUGCCGAUAUAGACGUCACCUGUGACUUGGACUCUGCACUCCUCUAAACUAACGGGAGGAUAAGAUCCGAUUUACUGCCGGUGCGCUUUUUGAGGCGAGCAUAGCGUUCCAUUGGACAUCAAAACCGACAGAGCCAUUAAGAGGGGAAUUUUGGUUCCCACGCGGACACUUAUCCUCCCGGAUCCGACGGGAUUCUCUGUCCCACGCCGCGCGGUAACCAAGUGUAUGCGCUUUGAUGGGAAUAACUGCCCCCAAGUUGUGCGCAUUCUUCCCGUUGGCCACAGAGAUAGUGGGCGUGGGGGAUCCGCGCCCCAUUACUGCGCCGUGAGUAUAAAUAGAAGGGAGGAGCGAGGGUAAAAAACCCUUCGCACUCUUCGUCUUCCUCGUUCUCCUCUGCCCCUUUGCUUUCUGCGCACUCCACCGUCGCUGCUAGCUUCAAGCUCCUCUGCCGCCGCAGUUCCUAGUUCUCAGCCACCAAGCUCGCUGCCACCAGCUCGCGCGCGCUCGCUUGGCUCUCCGCCGCUCUUCCUUGCUCAUUCAAGCCUCGCGCCAGCACCUUCUCCCCAAAAAGGCAAACCCUAGAUCUACUCCUAAAUCCAUGGCUUCUUCUUCUCGCAACCCCGCCGUCGACCCUGCUGCUCAGCAGGCUGAGUAGAUGACUGGUUCGGAGCGAGCCGGCUGGGACGGCUCCGAUGUCACUCCGGCGAACAUCAAGUGGCUCCAUCGCUCCCGGCGGAUUCCGGAGGACGUCGAAUGCCGGGUUCCCGGCGACGAGACCGUGCGGACUCCGAAGCUUGGUGAGCAUGUCGUUUUCCUUGCUCACUUCAAACGCGGUUUCGCUCUUCCUGCUAGCGAUUUUCUUAGGAAUUUCUUAGAUUUUUUCGGCCUCCAGCCAUACCACCUUCCGACGAAUGUCAUCCUUACUCUUUCGGCAUUCGUCACCUAUUGCGAGGGCUAUCUCGGCCUCUGGCCCUCUAUUGACCUGUGGGCCAGGUACUUUAUGUUCCGGCCCCAGGUUCUUCCCGACAAGGAGAAUCCCGGCACCGCUAAGCCGAUGAGCUAAUGCAGCGCCGCCACCGUUAUACCUUGCCGAGGUUCGGCCUUCCCUAGGAUCCAGGGUCUUGAGUCCUGUAAAAAGUGGCUCAAGACCUUCUUUUAUGUCAAGAACACCUCCGACACUGACAGAAUUAACCUGUCGGGAUUCGAAGUCGGCCCGCCGGAGGAGAAGAGGAAUUGGACGUAUGAUCCGAAGGAAACCCUCCCGGAGGUCAAUGAGAUCCACGCCGGCAUCCUCGAACUCAAGGACAACGGGAUGACGGCUGACGACUUGUCGGCCACUUUCAUAUACCGGCGUCUAUAUCCGCUCCAGCGCCGAGUACACAAGAUGUGCUUCUAUGGCGGCCAGUUUGAUCCGGACAGAGUGUCAACCUUCAAGCUCACUCAUGCUGAAGUCCGGCGCUGGGUCAAGGCGAUCGCCAAGACGAGCAUGUCGGAGCGAUGGACAUGGGGCAUGCCGGCAUUCAGCCGGGAUCGCCGCGCUCCUCCGGUAAGUUUUUGUUCUCAUUUAAUUCCUGUUCGCAUCCGACAUAUGGUUAUGCCGGCAUUUACCUGACGAAGGCUUAUCUCGGCUCAAUCUGAUCUUUUUAUGCAGAGGUUCUCUCUUCAGCGGAACGAGGACGAGAAUUCCCGGACAAACGCUUCGUGGCCCCGCGCAGGUCCAUUGAUGCCGAGGACCCGGACUCCGAGGAUUUCAUGCCGAUUGCCCAUGCCGGCCCUCGUCAUGUAAGGAUCUCCAACACUUUCUCGCAGUCCUUAUAGUAUUCGUCACCAAAAUACUUAUUCCUGCUCUAUCCCGGAAAUAGCCGACUUGGGCGAACUUGCUGCUGAGGCAUCGGACCCGGCUGUCGCUGUGGCGCCGGUCCGAGAGAUACGCGCAUUCGUGAAGCGCCCCGCCCAAAAAGAUCUUCCGCAGAACGUGAAGCGGAAGAAAACUGCGGCACGUGGACCCAAACCUAAGCCCCUGGUCGUUGGGUAAGGCCGAUAUUACCUCAACCAUCGAUGUCGGUUUCCUUCUUUAUUGUUAUGAUAGCGACUAACUUUUAUUUCUGCAGGGCGGCUCUGACGGCCACGCAAUCUCAAACGUGUAUCGCGUCUAAGAUUCCGGCGGCUCCAUCUCCCCGUGCCGAGGCUGCGACCCAAGCCACGGGUGAGACCGAGAUCGCCGUGGAUCCGACAUCCUCCGUCCAGGAUGUCGGCCCGAGCGUCGAUGCACCGAACGUCGCCUCAGCCGGAACCUCGUCUGCCGGGAGUGCUCCUUCUUCAGCGGUAACCGAGACAUUGACGGAGCUGCAGGCUACAGAGACUGCGCAGCAGCCGGCAACGGGGCCCCAAGAACCCCAAGGGCCGCAACCGACUCCAACAGCCCCAUCGCUGCCACCGCAGACGCAAGCCACUCAGCUUGCUCCUACAAAGGCUAAGAAAGCCAAGAGCUCCGCAACUCCGGCGGGAUCGGCGCCUCCGGGUUCGUCUGGCUCGCAGCCUUCCGGAAGGCACUAGGGAGUUCCCCUCCGAACGACCAACAGGCACAGCUGGGGGUCGCUGGGCCAGUUCGUAACGGACUGAAACAACGCUGACAAUUACGAGGUGACCACCAGCACCCUUCAGUCGGCUCGGCAAAGCCCCCUGGUGGGACCUCCACCUGCAGCGACUCCAGAGUCGGUGGCUACUCGGAUGUACCAGGCAAGGGUGGCCUUGUUUGAGGCCAACCGAUCUGCGGAGGUACGAAGAAUUCCUUAAAAUAUUUUACUUUUAAUUCCAGUAUAGUAUCCAUAAUCCUAGUCCCCGAGGUUUAGGGUGAGUAAGAAUUAGUCGGCCUGAAGCUUAUCCCCUUAAAACUUCAAACACUCUGCAACACUUAGAAACGUCAAACACUUAUCCCCCGAGACUCAGGCCAGGUUUAGAAUAGUCGGCCUGAAGUUUUAGAAACUUCAAACACUUAUUCCUCGAGAAUUAGGCCGAGUUUAGAAUAGUCGGCCUAAAGGUUUAAAAACCUCAAACACUUAUUCCCCGAGAUUCAGGCCGGGUUUAGAAUAGUCGGCCUGAAGCUUUAGAAACUUCAAACACUUAUUCCCCGAGAUUCAGGCCGGGGUUAGAAUAGUCAGCCUGAAGCUUUAGAAACUUCAAACACUUAAUCCCCGAGAUUCAGGCCAGGUUUAGAAUAGUCGACCUGAAGCUUUUAAUUGUUGACUUUGUACUGCACUAAACUUACCGGUGAAUCAUCAUUUUGCAGUGCUGUAUGAAUAAGCGCACCGCUACCUUGAAGACUUUGCUAGCAAAGUACAAGAAGUUAGAGGCGGAGCACGAGGCUUUGAAAGCCGAUCGCGAGAGCCGGAGUAAGUAUAUCUUACUGUCGUAAAAUCUUUGUCCGAGUAUCAAUUUGCUGCGAAAGCUAAUAUGUGCUCUUGUUCAUAGCCGGGGACAAUGCCCAAGUGGCAGAGCUCCUGAAGCGCGUCGCCGAAGUCCAAGGUAUCAUUUCCUCCCUAUUUCGGGUUUCGCCCAACUUAAACUCCAGCCUUUGUAAUGUAUGUCUGCCAAACAGAUGAGAAGACUCGGCUAGCAGAACAACACCGGGAGGAUGUGGCUCGGCUGCAGGCGCAAAUCGGGGCGCAAGCGGAGGCGCACAAGACCGAGGUGGGUGAACUCACCUCGGCCCUCUCUACCCAGGCUGAUGAGAGGAUCCGUUUGGAGAACGAGGUGCAAAAGUGCAAGGGUCUGGUCGCCAAGAUUGAGACCCGCGCCAUGGCCGCCGAGAAAUAGGAAGCCGAGAAGACCCGGCUGUUCAAGGUCGUCCGGCAUGAGCUCGUCAAGAUCGACACGAUGCUAACCAGUAUGUUGCCCUGACACACAUUUCUUCAUCUGAUCACUUGUCCGAGUAAUAGUAAGAGGAUGCCAAGACUCAUUAUUAUCUUCUGUACUUUUGUCAGAAUUCUUUCCACAAUCGAUCGAGACCGCCCAAGCUGCCGUGCUCAAGGCGCGUAGGAAAAGGGAUCCAGGCGGGACAAGUGAAGCCUUUGAAUAUGACUCAGUGGAUUAUCUGGUUAGCAUUGCUAGCCGGGUAAAGCCUCUAAAGUCAUUCGGGGUCAACAUGUUGAAUGUCGGCAUCCGGGCCUUCCGGGCUCUAUGGCCGGGAGAAGAGGCUCCGACCGGCAUCCCAGAAUUGGCAAUGCGCCUGCUGGAGGUGGAGGAUCGCCUCAACGAGUGGAGGGAAUCAGCCGCGCGUGUUGGCGCCGAUGAGGCCUUGUCGUUCGUACUGUCUUGGUAUGACGGCAUCAACCACGAUGUGCUACAGUCAAUGCGUGCCGGUUCCCCCUACCUCUCGGACCUGAAGCUGAUCGCCAAGUGCAAGGAGCGGGCCUAUUCCUUCAUCCAGUAUGCCCACGUGCAUUCGUUUGUUGCGGGCCCAACAUCCGAGGCUGAGGCCGAGAUGACCGACGGUGAUGAAGAGGAGGCAGUGGACGAGGAGAUUGUCGUCGAGUCGGCCUCCACUGCGACAGAUGCUCCGAGUUCCGGCGCCAACAACGCCUCUGUUUCUUCUUAGCUUUGCCGGAAAGAAAAACUUUAGAAUUGUUAGAUCCCCGGGAUGCCGGGUGCAUAUGUAACCGGGAUAAUAUACUUUUGUUUGUAAGACAUCGUGUUCUUAAUUUAUAUAAGUCCUUUGUUUAUCGAAUUCUCGACCGAGUCACCGAGUCCAUUUUUCCUUUUAGUAAAAUUUUAUGACCUCGGUUCUUUUGUCUGCCUUAUCGACGUUCGACUUAUGAAUCGCAAAGUCAUAAAACUAUCCUUUUGGAAAAAAUAACCUCGACGAAUUCGCUUGGCAAUAUCCGAGUUAGGAAGGAAAUGCCGGGUUAAGACAAUACGCAUCCUAGAUCGCUUUUUUGCUUGUUUCCGCAAUCGCUUUUCAUGUGUUCAGUUAUCUCGUACCCAUCUCUAACUUGCCAUGAAGCCGGGUAGCGGACAGCAGCGAAGUUGUAGAGGGGAUUUUCAAUACUGACACACUACUAAAUCGAUAUAAGAUUACACAACUAAGCCACGCUGACAUGCGCAAGAUAAUUGCGAUACAACAUUUAAAUGACAUGGAAGUCUCCGAAUUCCUUUUAAGAACCCGGCGGAUAAUUUCAUUGUCUUAAAACAUUCAACAUAAAAAGAAAACGAUACAAAUACUCAUCUCUUAAGUAUAGAACGGACGAAGCAAAGCUACAUUCCAAGGGCUCUUGGUCUCCUCGCCUGACCGGUCCAUCCUGUUCGCCUUGGGAUCUUGUGCAUCUAUAAGAUAGUAGGAAUCAUUGUGAAGCUUUUUGCUCACAAUAAAGGGUCCUUCCCAUGAGGGUGAUAGUUCGUGCAUGCCGGCUGUGCGCUGCACAAGUCAGAGACCGAGGUCCCCUUCCCGGAAUACCCGCGGGUUGACCUUUCGGCUGUGAUAACGCCUUAGGUGUUGUUGAUAGAUAGCUGACUGAGACAGAGCCAAUUCCCGUGCUUCUUCGAGCAGGUCGACAUCAUUUUCUCGGGCCUCUUUUACCUCGGCUUCCGUAUACAUGGUCACUCGUGGAGAGUCAUGUUCAAUGUCGGCUGGUAGGACAGCUUCUGCCCCGUAUACGAGAAAAAAUGGCGUGUAGCCUGUGGAGCGAUUGGGAGUCGUCCUGAGACUCCAUAGCACCGCCGGGAGUUCGUCCAGCCAGCAUCCCGGAGUACGCUCCAAUGGUUCGAUUAGCCGAGGCUUUAUGCCGGCUAAAACUAUGCCGUUUUGCUUUUUCAACUUGUCCAUUGGAUUGAGGAUGUGCCACGGAAGCGAUAUCCAGUCGGAUUUUCUUUUCCGCACAAAAUCGCGCGAAAGGUCCUUCCGCGAAGUUCGUUCCAUUAUCCGUGAUGACACUGUGCGGGUACCCAUAUCUCAAGAUAAUGUCCUUCAAGAAUGAUACCGCAGUUUUGCCGUCACACUUUCGUAUCGGCUUCACCUCAAUCCACUUGGUGAACUUGUCGACGAUAACCAAGAUAUGCGUCAUGCCUCCUCGCGCCCGCUUGAAUGGUCCCACCAUAUCCAAACACCAAACAGCAAAUGGCCAAGUGAUUGGGAUAGUUUUGAGCUCGGACGCCGGCAUAUAAAUCUUGCUGGCAUAUCUCUGGCAGCCGUUACACUUCCUGACUAUGUCUUCUGCUUCCUGUAAUGCACUUGGCCAGUAGAAACAAUGUCAGAAUGCCUUGACCACUAGCGUUCGUGAAGAUGCAUGAUGGUCGCACUCUCCUUGAUGAAUGUCCCGGAGUAUCUCUUGCCCUUCUUUUGGCUCGACGCAUCGCUGCAGGACAUUUGUGACACUCCUCUUUUAUAGCUCACCAUUGAUGAUGGUGUACGCCUUCGCCCUUCUCUGAAUUUGUCUUGUUGUCACUUCCUCUUCCGGGAGAUUCCCAUCUUUGAGGUAAGACAUUAUCGGUUGCGCCCAAGCCAGCACAAGACGAGUAGUGAAGAUCGGCUCAUCCGGUACGUCUAUCUCCAUUGGCUCAACCGCCAUUGCUUUUGCCGAGUUAAGGCGCUCAGUCCCCGGGUUACCGGAACCGUUGCCACUGUCAAUGUCCAUGGGGGUGACAUCGGCUUCUGAGCUCGUGGGAUAAAUAUCGACUCCAAUUCUGGUGAUGGCUUGAUGGAUGGUUUGCGUAAAUGCUCCAAUGCCACACCAGCCGGAAUGGCCUGUCGCGUUGAGCCGAGUUUCGACAAUGUGUCAGCAGCCUCAUUUUCCGCCCGCGGUAUAUGGUGAAAUUCGCACCCUUCGAAGUGGCCACUGAUCUUCUGAACAUGGAACCUGUAUAGCGCCAUAUGGGCAUCCAAUGCAUCCCAGUUAUCGGAAGCUGGCUGGACUACCAGAUCGGAAUCACCAAAGCAUUGAAUCCGGCGAACUCCAAUUUCCUUUGCCAUUUUCAGUCCGUGCAUGAGUGCCUCAUACUCGGCAACAUUGUUGGAUGCUGCGAAGUGAAUUUGCAAUACGUACUUAAGUUGGUCGCGCUUUGGCGAGGUCAGAACUAUGCCGGCACCAAGCCCACUUUUCAUUUUAGAGCCAUCAAAAUGCAUCUUCCUGUAGUUAGUUUCCGGGGGCGGUGAUUCAUACUCCAUCUCGGCCCACUCCACCAAGAAAUCCGCCAGAGUCUGAGAUUUCACGGCAUCCCGUCUGUCGUACUGCAGCGCGUAGGGUGCUAACUCGACAGCCCACUUGGUGACCCGGCCGCUCGCGUCUUUGUUACUCAUGAUUUUCGAGACGGACGCCUCGCAUAUAACUCGGAUCUAAUGUGCCUCAAAGUAAUGCUUCAGCUUUUUUGCCGCCAUAUAUACGUCAUACGCCAUUUUCUGGUAAUGGGGGUAAUUCUGCUUAGACGACGAUAACACCUCACUCAAGUAAUAUACCGGCCUUUACACCGAUUCGUCGUUUUCAUCUCUUUCCACCACGAUGACGGCACUAACGACUCGGUUCGUUGCUGCUAUGUAUAACAUCAUUGGCUCCUUCUCCAUUAGCGAGGCUAAUAUUGGUGCCGUAGCAAUCUUUUUCUUCAGCUCUUGAAAAGCUAAGUCUGCCUGUGCGUCCAUACAAAUUUGUCGGUUUUCUUCAUCAGCUGGUAUAAGAGCAUAGCUUUUUCACCUAGCCGACUAACGAAACGAAUUAGUGAUGCUAGGCAUCCAGUGAAUUUUUGCACAUCUUUGAGGCUUUUCGGCAAUUUCAUCCUUUCUAUGGCGGCAAUUUUCACGUGGUUCGUUUCUAUACCUCGGCUUGAUACCAGAAACCCAAGCAAUUUUCCUGCCGGCACACCAAAAGUGCACUUGGCCGGGUUCACUUUCAUUCGGAAUCUCCUCAGAUUUGCGAAUGUUUCCCGGAUAUCAUCCAGGAGCGUAGCGCUUUCCUUAGUUUUUAUGACGACAUUGUCGACAUAUACCUGCACAUUUUUGCCGAGUUGGUCGUGCAAGCAUUUCUGCAUGCACCUUUGAUAAGUAGCCCCUGCAUUUCUCAAACCAAACGGCAUAGUACGAUAGCAAUAAGCCCUGAAUGGGGUGAUGAAUGAUGUCUUUAUUUGAACAUUAGGGUUCAGCGGUAUCUGGUGAAAACCACAGUACGCGUCUACAAAAGACAGCAACUCACACCCGGCUGUAGAAUCGAUCACUCGAUCAAUCCGAGGUAACGGAAAAGGAUCUUUGGGACAUGACUUGUUCAAGCUGGUGUAGUCGAUACACAUGCGCCACACCUUGGCAGCAUUUGGGUCGUCUUUCUUCUUCUCAACCAUGACCGGGUUUGCCAGCCAGUCGGGAUGCAACACUUCCAUGAUAAAGCCGGCAGCUAGAAGCCGGGAUACCUCUUCCGAUAUGACUUUCCUUCUGUCGUCGGCGAAGCGUCGAAGGGGCUGCUUCACCAAUCUUGCGUCUGGUCUGACAUGUAAUGAGUGCUCAUCCAACUCCCUCGGCACACCCGGCAGGUAUUGAUUUGACCAUGCGAAGAUGUCCCGAUUCUCACGGAGGAAGCUGGUGAGCUCGCCUUCCUAUUUUUCACCCAGGCCGGCACCAAUGAUGAUGGUGCGGUCCGGGAACUCGCUGUCAACCUGUACCUUCUUUGUCUCCUUGACUGCCUGAAAAGCCACACUUUCAUGGGGAUUGGUCAUGACCGGCAGGCCAAUUUGUGCCGCCUGAGCCAUCGCAACUGCUUCUUGUAGCUUCUUCUUCUCGCCAGCGAUGACCAGUGACUCGGCCAAAGCAGAUUCGGCCACUGCGCACUCCAUUGAGUGUUUGUAGUUGCCAGUGAUGGUUAUGGUACCAUUUGGUCCCGGCAUUUUCAUCUUCAGAUAGCCAAUGUGAGUAGUAGCCAUGAACUUGGCGAGUGUCGGCCUGCCAAGCAGCGCAUGGUACGGACUACUAAGGUCCACCACCUCGAAAACUAGGUUCUCGAUCCGACAGUUCUCCCAUGUGCCGAAUAAGACGUUCACUUGGAUCUUGCCCACCAGGGCACAAGACACUCCCGGCACAAUACCGUCAAAGGUAGUUCGGCUGGGCUCAAGCAUGUUAUCAGUAAUGCCAAGUUUGAGAACCGUGUCCCGGUACAAGAUAUUUAUGAUGCUCUCAUUAUCAAUGAGAACUCGAGUGAACUUGAUGUUAAUGUUGAGCCCGAUGAGUGUCGGGUCGACCACCAGAGCAUAUCCACCAAGGUUGGGCAUAACUUUAGGAUGGUCUGCCCGGUUCCAGUUGAUCUCCUACUCCGACCAGUACAUGAACUUUGGAACAGCCGACAUAACAGCGUUAACCUCCAUCUCUCGUCUGUGCUGACUUUGCUUGUCCGUUGGCUCAGUGAUGAAGAUCAUCUAGCUUUGGUGAUGCUCCUUGUACUCAUUUCUUCCGACAUGUUGCGGAAUACCUUGGUCUUCCACCUGAUUGACGGCAUUAUUUGCCGGAGGGGGUCCCUGAAUCUGGGCGUUAGCGCCGGUGAGCGGUGGGGGAGGGGGCAACCGACUUGCCUCUCCGUUCUCGCCCGCUGCAUCCAGCUGUAUUACCGCAUUGUGUGAUUCGCAGGCUUGCUGGGGUUAGUCGUGUGAAAACAACAAGGUAGAUCCAGCAUCACCUCAAACGUAUACUUUGGCUUAUCCUGCCAGGGCUUCUUUUGUUCUCCUUUCUUAACCCACUUCUGAUUUCAUGUCUUCUGACGCUGGCUGGAGCCGGCAUCAGGUUGAUCCUGAAUAGCGGCGACAUGGGCUGGUCCAUAUCGGUAAUCUGGCCUGUCAUCCCUUCUCUUGUUGCGGUGAUCUUGAUGAUCGUUCCUCCGGAAUGCCCCGGCUGGAUUGUAUGUCGGCUGUUCCCUUUGUAGUUCUGCCGGCAUCAGCGAUGGCUGAGUCGGAUCACCAAGUGCAUACAUGUCGGUGAUCUGGAUCAUCUCAGAUAAGGUAGCCGGCAUCUCUCUUUGCAGCUUCUGUCACAACAUGUUGUCGUGGCGACAUCCUUGGGCAAAUCAUGCUAUGGCUUGCGAUUCCACUAUCCCUUCAUAGGAAUUGCGGGGAUUGUUCCAUCUUGUCAGGUAAUCCCGGUCAGUCUCGUUGUCUCUUUGCUUGCACAUGGACAACUGCUGAGGGCGAUUUGGCCUCUUGUAAGUGCUAGUAAAAUUGCUGACGAAGACUUCUUCAAAGUCGAUCCAGCAAUUGAUGUUGCCUUCCGGUAAAUUGUUUAGCCAUAUCCUUGCCGGCUCUACUAGCAUCUGGGGUAUAUAACGUACCGCCCAUCUGUGAUUACCGCCUGCUACACUUACUGCAGUGACAUAGUCUUCCAGCCAGUCCUCCGGCUUAGUACUGCCGUCAUAUGUUUUCGUACCCCUAGGCAGUUGGAAACCCGGGGCUGGUCUCUCCCUCAUGAUCCGAUGCGCAAAACAACGCGGUCCCGGAGGGCCUUGCUCCUCCAGAAGGUCAGACAGAUAAAUUCUGUCAAGCCGAUGUCGGGCAUCCAAGGGCGACACUUUCCUGUUCCCAACUCGGGCUCCGAGUGGGCCGAGAUUAUCACGCUCUCGCCUGAUAUAACCCUCUUCACCCAUGGCCGAGUAUCCGUCAUCGUAACGGUCAUGCAUGCGAUCUUCACCUCGAUAUGGGAAGUUGCACCCGACACCCUGCUGACCUGCAGCAGUAUUGGGUGCCGGACCCCGAGGUCGGUGUCCAUGAUCAAACGAGUAACAUUCUUGGUGGUCUCGGCGAUUGUCGCCGGGACGUAGGCCACUCUGGCUGUCAUCAACCCUUCUGACCAUCUGUUUCUCGCCUAGGACUGGGUCAUAACGCUCCAGCUGCUUAUCCCGGUCAGAAUUGACACUUUUGUCUCGCUUGCCACCAGGCGAAGACGCUUGCUUAUCAACUCGGCCUCCGGCAUCCGCUACCGAGUGAAUAACCUGAGAUGCGCCAGGAUUGCCGUGCGUUCUCGUGUAUGCCUCAUUCUGCUCAUUGGCUGUGCGAAGCAGCUCUUUCACGCGCAACUGCUGCUGUCGGAGUACCUCUCCUGUAAGAUUCGGCAGCUCUUCGGCCGCAGCCUCAGCAGCUCUGAGAUUGUUGACAGGGGUAUUGUAUUUCGGCUUUAAUGUCGAGGCGUAACUUGCCGACACCGCUGGCACACCCCUGCCAUCUCUAGUCAUCUCGGCAUUCAAGUUCUUGCCACGGUUAUGCACUUCUCCAACUCGGCUAGGGUUAGUAAACGUAGUAGAACUAAGACCAUAGGCUUUGUUAUACCCACGGAGUGAAAUAUCCAGUUGUUGCCGAGCGUGAGCAACGUCAACAGCUUCCUUCAGCAGUUUUUGUCGCUCCAACUCCAACUUCGCCUGCAGCUGGGCCGGGUUAGCGUUCGACGCCACCGGCGCGGUCAGCCGUUCGAUGGAGGCCUGGAGCUGGGUCGGCUUCGGUGGCAGGGCCGACGUGCUGGUUGAGCGGCGAUGUUUUCCGGCUUCUCCAAAGGGAGUUUCGCCAUUCUGCCGGACUUGGUUUGGACCGCGCCACUUCCCGCAGCGUCCCUUCCAGCAUCAGCGCCAUGAGCCGUCACCAUGACCUCCACACGGUCAGCGGGGCAGUCGACAUGCCGGCCGCGAACCGUACGGACGGCGGGGGGGGGGGGGUCUUUGGCCACCACCACCUGCUCUGGGUACCUGCAAGGGCUGUCAGUAGCAACAUAAACCUCGUGCAUGCCGAAGUUGAUGAAGCGGCCCGCGCAGGGAAGCGGUGCGUCGUUGAAGCAGCCCGCGUUGUUGUCGAUGAAGCCCAGAGAGCCGAAUCUCUAGACCAAACCGGAGACCACGCGCUCUCCGGUGGCGAGAAAGCUUCCCGUCCGGAUGAAGACUCUAGCUAGCGCCGCUGCUGGCCCCACGGUGAGCGCCAACUAUCGUGGUGGUGUCACGGCAGAUGUCAUAGGAUGGCUUAAAUUGGGGCCGAUGGACGAAGUAGGAACUGAAGGAGGGAGGACAUGAAGGGAAACACGCACAAGUUACACAAACACGCACUGAUUACCCAGAUUCGGAGCCCUCUUGUCGAGGUAAGACUCCUACUCCUGCUUUGUUGUAUUAGCCAAGAUAGACAAACUCUACAAUGGCGCUCCUUGAGCUGUAUUCUUGAGGAAGAAGAAAAAGAAAGUGAAAUCGUAGAUGCCUAAGUGCUCCGUCCCUUUCUACAGAGGGGUAAGGUUCUAUUUAUACGCCGCCCAUGUCACACUGACAUGUGGGCCGAGUCCUAAUGUCAUCUUCCUUGGGCCCCGCCGGGCACGCGGCUCGGUUCCCUCCCGGUGGCACCGUAGGGGACAAGACAAUUUUCCUUUUCCCUGGCACCCUGCAGAAAGUACCGCUAUCCUCUGCCGGCUUCCGUCAGAGAUUCUCUUUCGGUGCUUCUCUUGUGCAGUCGCCUGGCACCGGUAUGUAAGCGGCGACCGCCUUUUCCACGAUAAUGAUGAUGCUGCUUUAUCCUCUGCCGCGUGGUCAAGAUAAGACCGUUGAGAGAUCUCGGCGUGGGCCGAGAUCAAGGUGCUCGUCUUUAUCCUACAAGCUCAUAAGAGAACAUAGUCAUGCCGGCACAUGUCCAGGAUGCCGGCUUAAUGUUAGUUUGACUUUACAAUGCCGACAUACAUAACCAUGCCGGCUUUGCCACCGUCACCUCGGUUAGUGUUGUGUCGUCAUGAAUCUGCCAGGGGUCAUCCCCCCGACAGAGGUGGAGGGAGGCGUUGGAGAAGCCGCAAUUUCCCUCCCUUUCCUUUUCUACCUCCAAUUUCCCCGGCCGCAAUUUCCCUCUCUUUCCUUUCUACCUCAAAUUUCCCGGGCAGCCAUUUCCCUCUCUUUUCUUUUCUAUCUCCAAUUUUCCCGGCUGCAAUUUCCCUCCCUUUCCUUUUCUACCUCCGUUUCCUUCCCUCCGGCGCCGCCAAUUUUAGGUCUCCCGCCCACCACCGUCAUCGCUGGAAAUCUCUUUCCUUUUCUACCUCGGUUUCCAUCCCUCCAGCCCACCAAUUUCAGGUCUCCUGCCCGCCACCAUCAGCGCUCAGGCCGACGCUUCUGCAGAAAAGCAUCGCUAAUGCGCGCGGAAGCGCCCGCUCAAAUUUAAGCGCCACGCUUAAUCGUGGUUAGCGUGCAAUCUCGCGCUCAGUGCAAAUCGACGCGGUUUGCUACUGCCUCCCUUAAGCGUCUGUUUUUUAACGCUCUUUUGAACCAUGGCUGAGACAAAAACGAAAGAUAAAAAAUAAGUACAUAAAUUGAAAUUGGGGGAGCCACUUGUGCCGACGCAUGUUUAUGCAGGCUGGACCUGGACCGGUAGAGCAAUAAACUAUUAAGUGGGCUACCGGAAAUACCGGACAUACUAGAAGAACAGGUUGCUGUACUAAUAGGGUCCGGCCCAGCAUGAGUGUCCGACGAGAAAAUAGAUGGACCAGAUACCAGAAGGAUCGUGCAGUACAAGCACCAUGAAUCUGACCGCAUCGUCCAGCAUUUAUCGGCGUCGACCUGCUUACGUGAACUCUGCAAAAGAUUUCCAGCAACAACCAACACUCUGAACUGCCGUGACCUUUUUCCUGGGCAUUGCCGUCGUGGUGCUGUUCGCGCUCCUAAAAGGAUGGCGCAGCUCCGGCGGCGGCGGCGGCGGCGGCAACGUGUAGGCGAUGAUACUUAAGGUUUGUGUGAUGUAAAAUUGUAGUUGUCAAAUUCGUCAAGGUAUCUGUUUCCCGGCCACAACGGUUCGCAAUUGCAAUUUAUAAUCGUCGUGUACUCAUCCUUCUAUGUUGCUUUGAGCAAAGAACAUACAAGUGGAUCGAGUCUUCGAUUGUGUGAGUACAUACGUGCUAGUUCUACCUCCUUUUUCAGAAAAAUAGGAUGGGCACGCGUACGUACCUGGGAAAAAAAAUGUAUAACUAUCUAAAAAAUAUGAACUGUUCUCUUCACCGUCGUCUGUCAAGCUUGCCAUAAAAUUAGUGGCCCAUCAGAAUUAUAUGUAUAUUAGACCUACUAAACCGUCUGGCCCAUUACCUGCACCGAAUAUAUCUAUAUAUAUCCCAUAAAAUUUAUGGGCCCUCAAGAUUGAAUGUGUAUCAGGCCUACUAAGCCGGCUGACCCAUUACCUGGACCAAAUCUAUCUAUAUCUAUAUAUGUACCAAUGUACUUCCUCUGAUCCUAAAUUCUUGACUCAAAUAUGCCCAAAUAUGGAUGUAUCUAUUCAUAAAAAGUGUCUAGAUACAUGUAAUAUUUCGACAACAAUUUAGGAUCGGAGAGAGUAAAAGAUACGGACCGUUCCACCUAGAGGUGCAACAUGGUGACCCUUAGGGUACCUUUUGAUCCUCCUUAGUUUAAACAAAUGAACUAGUUUUCCAAAAAAAUUGUGUCUUUUUAAAAUUUUAGUUCAUUUGUUUGAACUAAGGAGGGUCAAAGGGUACCCUGAGGGUCACCCUUUUGCAGCCCUAGUUCCACCUUAUUUACUCCCUUUUUUUUUGUCAAGCCCCUGAGACCCACCUCGUCCGCCCGCCCGCAAACCACUCCUUUGUCCGUUUUAGAUGGCUGAGCUCCCCUCUCCUGGCGCAACCCAAUAGGAGACCCUUCCUAAUCCAACAAAAAUAUUUUCCCGUGACGCAGCGGAGAAAACACAAUUAAAAACCCAAUGAUAUCUCUUUACACAUUCGACCUUGCAACGGCAAAUUGAUCCUGCGAUGUACCAUAUGGUCCAGCAUGUGGUGCCUCCUUCCAUCCGAGUGCCGACGGCUCUGGCAUGCAGGCUCCAUCUUAUCAAACGCCGUUUAAAUUCAGAGAAAACAAAGGAACGGGUUCAUUCUCUCAGCUCUCAUCCCUGGCGUGUUGAUCUGGGCCAAUGGGAGCCGCUACGAUAACGUGCGCUAAGGCGGUUCAGCCGUGAUUAUGGGGGAUAAUUGAGGAGGGGAAAAGAAAGGAAAGGACCGUCGGAUACGGUUCAGAGCACCUGGACGGAUCACGGGCCGAGGAGGCAUCGUCGAGGGCGAAGAUUGCUGCGGACGACACGUGUGUGUGCUGCUUGUGGCACGAAAAGGAAGACGUGUACGAGUGCUACCGCGGACAUGGGCUUGGCGCUCUCGAAAAAACUGGCCCAAGAGAAAAAACAGGUGUGACUAAAAAAAAUAAAAAAAAGAAGAAAAAAAAGAAAGAAAAACCUAAAAAUGGUUUGCCUGGACCGUGGCAGCGCACGGACAUCCUGCCAGUGAGAUUAACGUUUGGAAGUAAACUUGUAUAAAAACCUUCGCCCACGCGGCGAGACUUUUCAUGUCUUCCUAGCAGGUCUUUUCCUCAAGAAAAAAUAAAAUAAAAAUUAGAAUAGCAGGUCAAAUCUAUCAAUCGACUCUCCCACAACAAUCUCCCUUAAUUGCACCUGUAAUUCACCGUUUAUCUGGACCACAUCCCGCAUCAUCUUCCUAACCACGUUUAUUUAAACAAUUCCCCUGUGCUAGAUUCUCUCCGGAUUACAACCUCACCGCCCUCAGACAUGUGGGCCCGACCUAUGUUUUGGCCCAAUUGUCAUCGUUUUAACCGUGUGUAAAGAAUCACCUAAGCCGAUACGACUAUCCCCCCCAUGUCCCUUCAUUUUCCUGGGCCCGGCACAUCACGAAAACCACAAACCGACAAUCUGGGACCAUGUAAGUCAUGAGACCCACAAGGCAGCGAGACCGCCCACAACUUAUCCAGAAAAUCUCCUUUACUCGAGCAGAAGUGCAGAACCCUACUGCCGCGGUGCCGCCGGAUGCCAAGCUUCGGCUUCACCAGACUCUUCGUCUUCCCCCAAUCCCCACGCCCCUCCCUAGAACCCCCGGGAUCUCCAAGAUCUCCUUGGGAUCCAAGCAAUUCGAUCGGAACAGCACCCGCAGCCGCCCUUAAAGCUUGCCUAUUUCCACCGAAAUUUCAUCCGAAUUGGAGCGAACCUGGCCCCAGUCUCUUCGUCAUGGGUGGCUGGAACCGCAUCUCCAGUGCCGGUUUCCUGAAGCCGCUCUCCGGCGUCUCUUUCGCCUUUAUGCCCGGCGUCGGUGCGGUUUACUUCAUCGUCGGCUCCGCGCUCGGAUUCUUCGCGAUGCUACACGCCUCCGAGUCCGAGGUCGGCGGCGAGUGGGCCUCCGCCGCGCACUGGGUCUCCCUUUCUCGCUCCGUGAGCGCCCAUCAACUGUUUCUUGCCAUGACCCUUCUGUUCUUGGCAAUCGCUGUUUGGCGCCUCGGCAAGCGCUGCGAUGCCGUGGAGAAGAUCGUCGGAAGCUCGGGCGCCACGGUGAAAGCAUUGCGCGUCAGAGGCGUCGUCUGCACCGUGUGCGGGACGAAGACACGGGGUAUGCAAAAUGGCAGCCUGGGCCCCACCGCGGAGGGCGCCCGCUCUAGCGGCUGCUCCGAUAAGCUGGUUGCGAGGUCGCUGGCUUCGGAACUAGAGCAGGAGGCCGACACGGAGGACGAGGGCAAUGCUAGCGAGGUGAAGGGCGCGGAAGAGGGCACCAUGGAGUGGCUGAGGCGGCGGCUUGCAUGGGAGAGGAGGCUGAAGGAGGCAGCGCUAGAGGAGCUGGAGAAGGAGAGGCGUGCGUCGGCUUCUGCAGCCGAUGAGGCGAUGGCCAAGAUUGCGUGCCUGCGGAAUGAGAAGGCGCUGGUGGAGCGUGAGGCGCGUCAGUUCAGGGAGAUGGCUCAGCAGAAGCAGCUGUAUGACCGGCAGGUGAUAGAGUCUCUUCAGUGGAUGAUCAAUAAGUUUGGCAUGCAAUGUGGGGAGCAAGAGUUGACAUUUGAUUGAGCCCUGUCAGAGACAAGCGAGGAUGACCGAGACAAGCGGUUGUAGAUCCUGCUUCCCUGGUAGCUGAAUGGAACAGUAACGUCAGCCUGAAGCUGGGAAUGUUCUUGGCCGUUCAGGUUCCUCAUUUUAUGAUCGGCGGUCAGCAGCCAUAUAGGGCCUCCCAGUGCUCAAAUUUUGAUAGCUGGUGCUGUUGUGAACUUGUGAUAAUCCUUAAGCAGGCAAAAUCUGCAGAAGAGAUAUGUAAUAGCCACCUGUAUAUAUACUAUCCUUUGCAAACUCUUAAGAUGUGAUUAACAAUGGUAAUUGAUGGUUUCAACUGCGCCAACGCUCAGAUGUUGUUUGCAUAACUCUUUAAGUCUAUUAUUAUGAAUUCUGUAGUGGAGUAGUAGUCCUUUGGUACAUGAUGCUGGAACCGAUAAUGAUAAAAUCUUCUGUUUAGUUGUAAGAUCCUGCCGUGGAGUACCUCAUAAGGCAUUUAUGAAUUGGGACUUGUUGAGUUACAAGUCACAUUUCAUCAACACAAAGAUGAAUGCUUUGCACUUUGUGCAUCGAUUAUUUGUUUGCUCACCUGAUGUCUUCAUUCACUGCAGCUGAUGGCAUUGGUAGCAAUAUAUGGAGAUGAUCUGGCUGAAUUUGGAAACAAAGGUGGCUCAACUAUUCCCAAGUUUCUUGUUCUGGCCAUCAGUGCUGUUGAAUUGCUUUGGGAUGGUGAAUUUUAGUUUUGGUAGUUUGCAUAUUUUUUCUUUAAAUGUCUGCCUUCUUUGAUAUUGAUAUGGUUACUUCCACGGUCGGACAGGCCUGCCCAAGCAAAAAUAAAUGAACCUCUUUUACAGGCAUGGUUAAAUGGAUGUGUCAUGACACCAUUUGGGCAGAGCGAGCGACUGGGGCAGGUUGUGGUACCGUAUAACAGUGGGUUUACUGGAUAUUUAAUUCUUCUUUGUCAUAUCUCUGGUCCAGAUAUUAUAUCGCAUAAAGGAGAUACCUGUGCUUCUCAAGAAGUCUCUCUUUGGAUUCUAUAAUACCUCCAAUGAUAAGUUAGAGUUAGAAGUGCUAUCAAUCUUUUCUUGAGGACCUCAAUAUGUGCAUGAUAUGCCUUAACCAGACCAAAGGUACCUUUUUUUGCUUGUUUCCUUUUGUUGAGGGUGUUUUCUGAAGUAUUGUGCCGCCAGCCAUAUGGCUUGUUUUCUUCCUUCGUAUUUGUAAUUUGUACGCGUUUGUAACCUAUGUUUGUACUGUUUUCCGACUCGUAUAAAUACAAGUAGUGUAUGCCUACCGGCGUACACAUUAAAAAAAAUACUGCCUAGUCACACCGAAAGAUUAUUUGCUAUUUAUAAGGAAUCAUCUUGAGUCUCGUUUGGAAGAACACAACUUAGUCUAUGCCACAUUCUUGUUUAACUGUGCCAUAGUGGUAGCCUACACCUGGCUGAACUUUCAUGGUACAUUGUAGAUAUUAACAACCAUUUGUCCCAAUGUACUGAACUGUUUGCCAUCUGCUGUCUCCAAAUUUCUGUUUGAGGCGUCAGGCGGGAUGACUGCGACGGACAUGGUGGAGGAAAUGUUGAGCAUAGAAAUGGUGUACAACGAUGCUUGAUUUUUUCCAUAAUGCCAAAUGGCCAUCAGCAAAUCUGGCCUUUUUGGCAGGUGCAAUAAAAUGGAGUGCGGCAACUGUGGUUAGUCGCUCUGGCACUCUGCUUCCGAUGUGGCAAGGCCAUCAGUGACUAUGCACAUUUCAGGUAGGAGUGAAACAAUUUGUAGACCACUAGUUUGUCUAGGUUCAGCAUAACACUAUCCUUUCAGUUAGGCCAUUCAUCUAUGUUAUUUUCUUUCUUGGAAACAAGGGAAGCAUCCUGGAUCUAUCAUUGUGCAUGUAUGAUUAGCCACUUCUAAAGACGGAUGGUUUCCUAAUUUCUCCGAUUUUUCAGCCUGGCACCGCAUUUACCGUGGCGCCACGUAAUGCUCUCGCAAUUAAUGUUCUCAUAUCCCUGUAUGUGCACCACUUGGGGAAGAGAUAUUUUUCUGCUCGCCUUCCCUCUCUUUCACAAUCUCCUGAUUUUCUGUCCACCACCUGUUCCCUCUCUCUCCCCACCUCUCGAUUCCCUCCAAAUGCCGCUCCACUGGACUGAUCUUUGAGCGUUUCUAGCAGCUUAGCUCCAGUAUAUACCGUCGACCACUUGUUUGCUGAAAUGGUUUUAUAGGAAUGGGACUCCUUUGGUCGAUCAUGCACUUACACCAAGAUUUGUCAUGUUGGAUACUGCAGGUAGAUAUUGAUUUUCUUACUGUAGACAUAAGGAUUUUGGAUAGUGAUCUUAUAUACGACUCUGGGCAGAGCUUCAUCCUGCUGUGGAAUUGUGACAGAUAGGUAUCGUAUGUCUCAAUCUUCUCUAACAGAUGAGUCAUCUGGGUAUUUAUACUUACUUUCAGAAAUGUAAGCCAGCUUUAUAGUCUUCAGCUCAUUUCAGAUACCGCAGAUCAUGGAUUAAUAGUGUCGUAUUACACUUACGAAUUAUAAUCUAGUUUCGAGGCUGCAGCGCCAGCAUAUUUACUUGCUAUACUAUCUACUAUUGGUUUACUGUAUGCCUUUUAGUUUCUAGUGUUGGUGUUGGUUGUUAAUUCCUUUUCCAGUAAGUUCAAAUUAUGUCAACGUAGAGGUAGACGGAGAAACCCAUUUCAUUUUUUAUUACGGGAAAACUGUAGGGGAGGUCCCAAUAGUAAUAUUUUAUUAGAAGAGGAAAUAAUUACAAGAUAGCUGUACAUAGGGGGGAAAUUUAAAACAGAAGGAAGGGAUGGAGGAAUCCAGCCCGGCAACUACAAUUGGCAAGGUCUGACUUGAGCCUAAAAGAAAGCAAAUAAGUAUCUCUUUUCAAGAGUACUCGCCAAGAACCUAAACUAGGACUGAUUCUAUCAAAGAUUUUGCUAUUGUGCUGCUUCCAGAUGUGCCAAGCUGCCAUGAUAAAAGCCUCUCUGAAGAAAGGUUUGCUGAAGCUAGACUUGACUUAAGUCAAGAGGGCGUUGUGAUCAUGGAGUGAAGUAAAAUCGAUGCCAAUGGAGUUCCAAGACGGUUUGCUGAAAGGCACUGCGGAAAUAAAUGAUCACGGUCUUCUGGACUCUGGAGCCUAGAGACUUCAGAGAACACAAAGUUGAUAGUCACCAGUGAAGAGGUUUUGUCUUUGCAGGCCUUGAGCUUAUUGGAGCAUUUUAUUUCCAGAUCCAGUUCAAAGAGAACUGCGAUUGAAUAUGUUGAAAGGUAUUAUUAUAAACUUUCUUCAAGGAGAAGUAGCUUCUCAUUAUUCUACUGUUAAUUUCUUCAGUUGAUGUCCUAUUAUGGGUCUUCUUUUUGUUAACUUGUUCCCGUGAGCUCUUUUUGUCAGGUGGAAGGGGCCUUUUGUCAGGGAGUCGGUCAUGUCAUGAGCGACGAAUACGUGAUGUGACCUACUCGGACGGGUUAGUUGUCUCAGAUGGGGUAUGGACAUACAAAACAGUUCAAUGUUGAGCUGCUCAACAGUGGAUUCCACAUGAGCAGAGUGCUCUCUUCGAAUGGUACUCAGCUUUUAAUUUGUUGGACAUCUAUGUGCAUGAAUCGACGACAUCUUAUUAUGUCCAAAGACAAUUCACAAAAUUUGUUAGAUUGCAAUCAUUUGCUGCAGCUUCCAAAAGUUUUUGCUGUGAAAACUUAAGAGCUAGAUACUUGCUUAGUCGUGCGUGUAUCUUAUUUACAAGUAGAUUCCUAUAGCAGUCUUUGCAUUAGUGUUGUGUAACACAUCCUGUUUCAGGAUUUAUCUUGAAUUCUUGAUGCACACUGUAAUCAAUUAUAGCAUGUGAUAUUUUAUUUCCUUUUUUCUAAUUAGCCAGAGUCAUUGGUCUGAAGGAAUCUGAAAAAUCAUUGACCGGUAUGUCUGAAGCCAUUUGCUGCUUCAAUUGGUUUAGCAAAAAAGUCAGCACCCAUCUCUGUAGGAAUUAUACUUCAUAAAUUCUAUGCAUCCACAAACUAGGUAUGUAAUCACAUUAGCCUUGAGAACGUGAAGUUCGAUUUUACUGCAACAGUUUCUUGGUUUCAGUGAUCUCAGCUAUUGUAAUUCAACAUUUUAUUAACCCAAUUGGUACCAACUGGCAAGGGAAUUUGUGAAAGUUGUGUUUGAAUGUUGCGCAACGGAGAUCAAUGAAGCAGCAAAACAGAACCAACGUAGACCUGGUUCGAUGAUCCACCUUUCCUAUCUGUUUGCCAUGUAGUUUGUGUUGUGGUGUGUUAUAGAUUGAUUGUCAUGCUCAUACGCAAACAUACAUCUAGUGGUAGGCAUCCGUGGUGAAGUACUUUGUACUUCAUUAGACUGAUGAGUUUGGAUUCAAGAUUCUCCUUCCUGUUUAUGUAAUUGAGAAUACCCUCUGGCGGGAUUGUCCAGUUUUCUCAACCAUUUCUAGAUGUGUUUAUAGGUAGAAAGCCACCAUUGCCUGCACAAAUACGCCUUUAUUCAUCAAUCUUCUUGCUGUGGUUUUGUUCAUUGGCAAAGGAAGCACACUUCUAGUUCUAAUUUUGUAGCUGCCCUCGUUAAAGUCUAGCCAAGAUCGAUCUUGCUCUCGUAAGUCAAGACGUGCCUCUUUGGUUCCAUAAAUACUACGAUGGCCCUAAACUCUGUCAGAUUUAUUUGUCUUGAGAUGCAUACCAUUUUCUGAGCUCGACAACAACAGCAGCAAAUGGACAGUGCGCUAUACCACUCUUUGAACCUCAAUUCGGUUUAACCAUGACAUAAUUCUUCGUGUGUUCGCUGACUUGUUAUUUCUUCACUUCGAUAUUUGUUCAACUUUUGUGUCAGUGGCUGCUUUGAGAUCCUCUGAUUCUCUUGGAUUGGUUGAGGUGUUCCAUCAGUUCGUUUGUAAACUCACGGAGAAGUCCAGCAGCACAACGAUUUGUCACUUGUCUCACUUCCACCUGUAGUUGUUUGUUGGGCUGAAUACAGUUGCUCAGGUACUACCCUUGUUGUCAUGUUUGAUUUUGACCUCUUUCGACCUUUCACUGCAUUUCGUGCUCCACGGUUUGGUCGUAAGCUGGCCUGCGCGAGCAAAGAUAAUAUCUGGAACUUCCUCAAUGCGAACAAAGUCUAAUGUUUCUGGAGCUUGCCUGUUCAAUAUGGGAUCAUGUCUGCAAAUUCAUUGAUUGUUUUGAGAAGGAAUGAAAGAGCCGUCAUUCAACUUGCAUGAUUUGCAAAAGCCAAAUGUUUAAUUUCCCUAAAACCAACCAAAUCUUGGUAGUUCUCCUGAGGACGAGGCAGAUUUAUCAGAACUGUACUCGGAACAAGUACUUCAAAUAAAACGUAAUAAAACCUUUGCGUCUUAAUGCUCAAUCACACUUCAAGCAAUGUUGAACCGAGCUGUCGAAGAGGGUCUCCCGGUUUUUGAAAAAGAGAGUAGGCAUGGGCUGGGUUUUUUACACGGUACUCAGCGAGCAAUUCUGCUCGUUCCGUGCUCGGCUUAUUUAGAGCUUGGCGUGUUAGACCAACAAACCGGUUAGAGCACCUCGUGAAACCCGUUAACAAUAACGAGCUAACGAGCAACGAGCAUGCUUGUUAGUUUUAUCACAUGUGCGUGCCGAUCGAAUAGUUCGGCUCUCUCCCCUCCCACCCUCUGACCUCUUCCUCUCGUCUUGCAACCUUGACCUUACAAUAGACUCGUCAACGAAGACUCGAGGGCGACGUCUACUCUCUUUUCACUGUUAACGAGCGUCCGACGAGCGCUUGGGAAUAUUAACGAACUGAACCGAACAUGAUUUGAAGAUCGUUAAGGUUAAUGAGCCUAACGAUCUGAACUCUUAAACGAACCGAGCUCUUAAGGAAUGGAGCGUAGAACUGAUGGAACGGUAUCAGUGUAUUCUCCAUCCGUUGAACCGAGCUAUUCCCCCUGACUCUGAGGCCACUCCCUCUGAUCCCACCCCACCAUACACAAUGCGGAGAGCCCUCCGCCCUCGGCAGCACCCCCCGCCACCCUCCUCUCUCCCAUGGUACGCCCCACCGCCGCAGCCGCCGCCGUCGCACUCGCCGUCCACGACCGAGGCCGACCCCCUGAUCGUCGCCGCCUCCGAAGUCGCCCUCGCUCUGCCGGUCCACCCCGCCCCGCUCCCGGCCACCGCUCCACCGCCGCUCCUCCGCCUGCUCCCGGCUUUCACCUCCGGCCACUUCCUCUCCCUCCUCCGCCGCAACCCGCUCUCCCUCCCGCCGCUCCCGAUCCUCUCCCUAUUCCGCCUCCUCCUCCUCGCCUCCCCUCCCGGCCUCUUCCGGCACACGCCCUCCUCCUUCCUCUCCAUGUCCCACCACCUCCUCGUCCACCGCCUCCCGCACCUCGCCCGCCCGCUCCUCCGCCUCCUGGCCUCCCGGCUCGGCCGCUCCUCCGCGCCGCGCCUUCUCCCAGACCUCCUCCCCGCCGCCUCCCCCGGCGACCCCGCCCCUCUCGUGUCGGAGCUCGCCGCGGCAUACGCCGACGAGGGCCUCCUGCCCGACGCGUGCUCCCUCGUCCUCCUCGCCCUCCGCCGCGGCAUCUCCCUACCGGCACCCGUGUGCUCCGGCCUCAUGAGCCGGCUCCCGAGUACUCCCGAAGCAUACACCUUCUACCUGCAGCUGCUUGACGCGGGCAUGGCCCCGGAGACCAGACUGUUCAACGUGCUGAUGCGAGAUUUUGUUAGACUCGGGGAGCUUGUGAGUGCACGCAAGGUGUUCGACGAAAUGCGGAGGAGCGUGCAGCCGACAGUGGUCACCUUCAACACCUUGAUUUCAGGCAUGUGUAGGGCACGUGAUCUGGACGCUGUAGAUGGUCUGUAUAAGGAAAUGUCGGAUGUGGGCGUCAAACCGGACGUCUAUACUUAUGGUGCUCUGAUAAAGGGUUUCUGCAGGACAGGGAGGAUGGAGAACGCGGUAAAGAUGUUUAAUGAAAUGCGUGAUACAGGCGUGAACCCCAACGCCGUUGUGUUCACAACGUUGAUAGAUGCACAUUGCAAGGAGGGGAAUGUGAAUGCUGGGAUGGACUUGUACCAGGAUAUGAGAGUAAGAGGCGUCAUGCCAGAUUUGGUGGCAUACAACGCACUGGUGAACGGGCUUUGUCGGGCGAGAAAUUUGAAGGCUGCUGAAAGCAUCGUGGAAGAGAUGAAGAAUGCGGGUCUCAAGCCGGAUAAGGUGACUUACACUACCCUCAUUGAUGGUUGUUGCAAGGACGGCAAACUAGACAUGGCAAUGGAUAUUAAACAGAAGAUGGCAGAAAAGGAGGUUUCAUUGGAUGAGGUGACAUAUACAGCGCUCAUCUCGGGGCUGAGCAAAGCAGGACGGCCAGUCGAUGCUGAGAGGGUUCUGCGUGAGAUGAUGGAAGCUGCUUUGGAGCCUGACAACACGACCUACACAAUGGUGAUUGAUGCCUUCUGUAGAAAAGGUGACGUGAAGACAGGCUUCAAACUACUGAAGGAGAUGCAGAACAAGGGUAAAAAACCGGGAGUUGUGACAUAUAAUGUGAUUAUGAAUGGGCUCUGCAAGCUGGGGCAGAUGAAGAAUGCUGACAUGCUUCUGCAUGCAAUGCUUAAUAUAGGUGUGUCCCCAGAUGAUAUCACAUACAACAUUCUUCUGGAUGGGCAAUGCAAGCAUGGAAAAGUUGCCAAUUCUGAAGAACUGGAGAGUUCAAAAGGAAUGGUGCCAGAUUUUGCUGUCUAUACUUCACUAAUCAGCGAACUCGCCAAGAAGAAGCCAGCUAAGAACUACCACGAUAGAUAAGGUUGCUGAAGUGGGUAAAGGUAUUUUGACUACUCACUCGUCAGUAAACGGCCCUUGAUCUGGAAGACAGAAAAAUGGAAUAUGAAUACUGAAUAGGGUCAGCAAGUUUAGGCAGGUGAAUAAUGCCAAUCCACUCCUCGAAGCUCAGGAUUCUAAAAUAUUGACAACCAGAAUACCACAUAUGUUUCUUGAUUAUGUACUUUCACUUCUCUGAUCAGUAAAUUUAUGAAGAUGGUGACAGAUGUUUACUCCAAGGUUGAAAUUUGAGACGUCUUGAGCAGUUGGUCUACCUGUCAUAUGUACCAAUGAUGUGUUGCUGGCCCAUGUAUAUAGGCUACAAGGGCUGAGAUGAUUCUCCCUCUGCAUAGCCGGAUGAGAGCUCGUAAUAUUUUUAUUUUAUCUUAUCAACAUUUAUUCAUGACUAAGAGAAAGGUAAACAAGACUAGCUUCGUCGGCAAUUGAUAAUGUAAUGCAUUGUUCAAAGGAUCUGAAUUCAUUGCAGACUAGUCAAAAGUUUGGAUACAAAUGCAGAAAGGCCCCUGAACAACCUAUCUAGCUUGCACAGCCUUCGCCAUUCCAUAUGCUGCAGCAGAAGCAACAGCACCAAUUAUAGUAGUCUGUAUAGCGCUAAGGAACGGGCGGCUUCCAGUAAAGCGACCCUUUAUGUACCCAAAGACGAGGAGCGCAAGAAGUGUGACUACGACUGAUGUGAGCAUGGCGUCCUGGACUGUGGAGAUGAACAUGUAGGGCAGGAGAGGGACCAAUCCACCGAUGACAUAAGAUAGCGCUAUUGUGAAAGCACUCUGCAAAGCUCUUCUAGGGUCCGGCUUCUCCAAUCCGAGUUCAAACCUGAACACGAUGCUCCGGUUAGUAAAUCAAUCAUGUGCAGUAUGCUAUUUCUGGUUGCUCACAGUAUUUUUCUUUCCUUCACAGCUAUGUGGCGAUAUCCACAUUUUUAAUCAAGUACAAUCAGAAACGGAGCAAUACAUAGUGUCAGCAGCUGCUAUUCAUACCUCAUCAUGAACUCGAGCCAAGCUUGUGGGUUCCUUCUGAGGCCCUCCACGACAGGUCCAUACUCAUGCGGUUCAAGCCCAUACUCUGCCAUGAUAUCUCCAAUCUCAGCAGCCUCUGGAUGAUCAGUAAAGAAGUCAAAACACCAAAAGUAAGGCUGCAAGUCAUACAAGGAGGAAUCUGGGAACAUGUUUUCUUGCUAUAUCCAUGUACCGGUUUCUGGGACGGCAAUGAUCUCCUCCUGCUCCCUCUUCAUCUCCCGCUUGUAAUGAUCUGCCUCGCUUUUGGCCGCCAGGUACCUAACACAUGGCACAGUGGCGAAUCAGAAAUUCACAAUAAUACAUUAGUGGGCACUUUUUGAAUUGAAAACAAUGUGAUCCUGUCUUGUUCCACAGUUUAAAGCGAGAUUCUCCACUAUGACUUGUGGGCACUUUUUGAAUUGAAAAGCUGUGAUACAUAUAAAGUAUGCUACAAUAGCACGUUGAAGAGGACCACAAGCCCACAUACUUGUCUAUCACAGGCUAACCUUUCGCCAGUAACGUUUUGGGUUUAGAUAAGUGUAAGUUACAAGUUGAUGUUGAAGCUAAAGCAAAGUACUGUCAGCCAGACAGGAAUGCAGUGUGCGACCUACAGAACAAUUAACACUGGGGUGUUCAUGAGGUAACAAAACAAGAUUCAGCAAAUACACCCGUGACCCUGUGAAUAUAUGCAGGUCAGGUACGAAAGAAUAUUUAAGAUGCUCCCUAUUAGAGGAGUAUUUAAUCCUAGCUGUCAAGUGAUCAAAGGUAAAUUUGGCUAUAUAAGCAUGGUGAGUACAACAAGUAUUUGACAGAUUUAGUGUUCACUCCUUCCAGUAUAGAGAUUCCCAUACAUAUUAUGCAUGUUGGUACAAUUUAAAACAUUGUAUACGCACUCUUAUUUUCAUUUUUACCUCGUACAUUGAAAUAUGCUCAUUUUUGUUAUUACCAAGUGAAAUUUGUAAAACAAUAUAUUUAUGUAUUGUUAUCACAGAAGCAUCCAAAGUUACACAUUUAAAGAACGUUCGAAUAUAAAUUAUGUUUACAUACUUAAGAUGUGCACAUGUACUUCAGUCGUAAAUGUGCAUUAUGUCUAAAUUCCUUAAGUAAUUAGUAGUCCAUAGAACGGUGUACUUCAAUCAUGUAUAUAGGUACAGAGUAUUUGAUAUGUUACAAGCGUAUAUUUCUAGCAAAAUGCAUCCAGUUUUUCAUCUAAAAUUGGUAAAUGUGUGUCCCAAAAAACAAAAUAACUCCAUGCAUGGUGCCAGCUUGCAAGGAAACCACAAUUGGAAUGGAGUUAAUAUUAAUUAAUUAGUACUACUGUUAUAACCUUCCUUAUUUGUUUCCAUUCUUUAAUGACGAUAUAGUUUCCUUAUUUGUAGAAGUUCAAAGUCCAUGACACCCCUACAUAAUCUUGAUAGCAUCUUACCUCAUAGAGGCAAUAUUAGCCACUAGAUCACCAAAAGUUAUCGGCUCGUAUCGAUUUGGAAGCAUCUUAAAAGUGCUCUACAUACAAGUACUAGGAUAUGCAGAAAUACAGACGUACAUUCACGAUAAGCUGCAGAUGCAUUCUAAUACUCACUCCGUACGACAAAAGAUGUCUCAACUUUGAUCAAAUUUGAAUGCAUCUAUACACUAAAUAUUGUCUAGCUACAUCCAAAUUUUGACAAACUUGAGACAUCUUUUGUCGGACAGAGGUAGUACCAGAAAUCUAUAAUCCUAACAGCAGGGGCAAUGGAGUAUGCAUCUCUAAUGUCUACGCGAUCUGGACAAAUUACCCGUGCGUGCAGUUAAAGUUUUUCUAAAGGGUUACAGUUCAGAAAGAAGAACAAAAGGACAAAACAAUCUGUAACGUAAACAUCGAUAACUUCGCCAGACGAAUAACGGUGCAUGAUUGUUGAAGAGGAAAGCAGAGGGGGUCAGCGUUAAUUGGUUACCCUCCAAGGCCCAUGGAGAUGGCACCGGCGGCGACCUCGGCGAGGCCGGCGGUGAGGACGAGCGAGGACGGCGCGCUGGCGCCGGAGAGGCCCGCGGCGAGGGCGAAGGGCACGGUGAGGCCGUCGGAGACGCCCAUGAUGACGUCGCGCACCACCUCCCCCGCCGUGAAGUGCCGCUCGCGGUGGCUCGGCGGGCCCUUGGCCAGCAUCGGCUGCUCCACGUCGCCGUCCAUCGCCCCGCCGACAGACAGAAACAGAAGCAAAGCCGACGAGCGAGACAGAUGGAAAGGACGGGAGCUACAAGUCUGUCGACCGGGCUUCCGGUGCGUUUGGAGUUUGGACUCCCGUCUCUUGGCAAUCUCGAUUUAUAGAGCUGGCUUAAGUUAGUAGCACAGCGGCGGCGGAGGGCUGGCGUAUAUUUGUGUGAUGGGUACUUUUUUGUGUGGUAGGUACUUAUGGCAAGCAGUGUAUACUCUCCUCGCCCACAGGCUUGGCCCAUCUACCACAAAAAACACCAAUAAGGGUCAUCUGUCAUGGGGUGUUUAGUUGUUGAACUUGGGUUGACUGUACAAUUUAGUCCUUGAUAUCUGAAAACACCAAUAAGGGUCAUCAGACUUUAAAAUAUGGUGCAAUAUGAUCCUAUAGCGAAGGCAUAUGUAUUUUGGUGAUGCGGCACGUAUCUGAUUCUGACCUAUGGAACCCAUUAGAUAUGAUCGAAAGUUUUCACUAAAUGGAGAUUUUCACCUGAUACGUUUCCAUAAUAAAAAAAAGAGGUAAUAACGAUGACGGUGCAUGAACUUAGCACGCAUGUGCAAACUGGUGCAUCAAGUGAAAAAUUGGUUUGUUCGAGUGAUCAAACUUGGUACAUGAGUGCAUUUUGGUUCAAAAGGGUCAAACAGGGCCAGACCAAGGCCACGUGGCGUGCCACAUAGGCAAAGAGCACAUGCUAGGCACACGGGAUGUUCGCUCGGGAGGGUAAGUUUGCAUUUAGGCCCUGCUAUUUUUUAUCUGUGCAUAACAAAGUCCUUGCGCCUUCAUGUGUGUUGGUGUACGGGGACGGCGAGGGAGGGAGGUCGUCGCCGCGGCUACCGGAUCACAAAUCCGAAGAAGUAGCAGAAAUUGAUGAAGAAAAAAAGAGAUCUUACAUCGUGGUUGUUGCACUUGACGAAAUCACGCAUUUUCUUUACUGGCGUUCCAGACGUGUACCUCUCCACCACGUGGAACCGGCAGCUAGUGCACUCGAUCAGUGGCAGGGGUCCGUACUUCCAGUGGCGUAUGGAGCUGCACGUGCUCGAAGAUGCCAUAGCGAUGGACGUCGGCCGGCGAGAUCGAUGGUGCGAGAGGGAUUGAGAAUUUGGGAGAGGGCCGACGGAUGGAGAUUCUGUUCAAGUGAUUUCGGUUCAUUUCUCCUCCCUACCUUUCAAUCAAAGCGAUAUGGACUAGAUGUACCAAUUCCACAAAAGGCUUAAACGAAAAAACCCGUGCGCCUGACGUGUGCUUUUUGGCUACUUGGCAUGCCACGUGGCCUUGGUCCGGCCCGGUUUGACUAUUUUGAACCAAAAUGCAAUCGCGUGCCAAGUUUAAGCACCCGAACGGACCAUUUUCCACUUGAUGCACCAGUUUGCACAUGCGUGCCAAGUUCAUGCACCUCCAGCGUUAUUACCUAAAAAAAAAUAUAUGCUCAAUAGGGUAGAUCUUGUGUUUUAGUUUGAUCACUAUGGAUAAAAUAUACUCCUGCGCAGAACUGAGCUACUACAAUAUUGGUCUUGUUUCAAGGAGCUGAGGGUGUACACGAAGGUUCAGAUAAUAGUGAAAUGGAUACAGUAUUUGAAAGAUACAGCUAGCGGUUUGUAUUGUCAGAACCAAAUUCAAGACAAAUGACUUGGUCACGUAACAGUGCUGUGCUCUCCUAAAAAUGAUAUUCCUCUGUCCAACAAAAGAUGUCUCAAUUUUGAUUAAAUUUGAAUGCAUCUAUACACUAAUUCAUGUUUAGAUACAUGCAAAUUUUGACAAACUUGAAACAUUUUUUGUUGGACGGAGCGAGUACAUUCAUUUGUUGUGUUCCUUUUGUUCGUAGUGACUGGCAGAAAUUGGGACUGGGAUUAGCAAUGUGAUAUGGUACGGACGGACCUGGAUCCCUCUCCCGGACGCUGCCCAAACAUGCUGCUGGGACAAGCAGCCGUGGCCCGUGGGAGUUCACGGUGAAGCUUAAUAGCUUUAAAACAACAAAUAGUAAACCUCCUGAAGGCCAGAAAACCAGUCAAGAAAACCAGGCCCAAACCUGUUGCUCAAGCCCAACGGCCAGAAGGUCAGAAAACCAGUAAUUUUUUUGUUAAAACAGGCUCAAUUUCCACUCAUUAUUUAACAGAAGAGCACCACGAUGCACAAUGUUGAUCUGAAGUUUAUUUGAGAUCUAGAUCUACAAUGAUAUAUUACAAUGAACCAAACAAAUAGCAGCCUAUGCUCUUUUAGCUUAUUCCUUUUCUGAAUCGGCUUGCCUGCCUGAUAUGUCACCAAUAACCUCUAGUUCCCCUUUGUGCUUUGCUUCUCAAAAUAUUUUCUAGUUACCCUUGGAGCUCUCCUUCUCAAACUCUUCCACAUAUCUAGCGAAGUUUUGGAUGAUUCUCUUGCCUUCAGGGGUGAUGAUACUCUCUGGGUGGAAUUGAACCCCCUGAAAUAGUUACCUUUUGCAAUUAGCAUCCGCAAGAACUCCCUUUAAACACCUCAGGUAUAACCUGUGCCUAAUUUAACAUAUAGAGGAGUUGAGAAAUACCUGGAUAUGCUUGUACUUCUUGUGGCGAGCAGCCAUGACAAGUCCAUCUUCAGUCCAUGCCGUGAUUUCCAGGGCGUCAUGUGGAAAGCUUUCCUUCUCAAUGACCAAACUAUGGUAUCUUGCAGCAGUAAAAGGGCUGUUCAAGGAAGCGAUGAUUAUGUCAAAUCAAAAGCCCACUAUGGAGAAGUGCGACAAAGUGAAUUGUAUCAACAACUGAAUAUUAUAAACAAAACCAUAAUUUUUGACAUCUCAAGUAAGGAAAAAGUACAAGCUCUCAAAUAUGAUUGUUUGACUUAGCAAUUUCAUGGCACGUGUUACAGAAUUCCUCAUAAAAAUUAAAUGCUUUAAAGAGGUGAACAGAGCCCAGCAGCUUCCUAUGUACUCCCUCCGAUCCAUAUUAAUUAUCGAAAAUAUUACAUGUAUCUAGACGCCUGUUAGGCAUAGAUACAUCCAUAUUUGGGCAAAUUUGAGACAAUUAAUAUGGAUCGGAGGGAGUAUAAAAAAAAGUAAUCACGAGAUGUGCGCAGUAAUUGUUUGCAACAUCAGUAUCAGUUGCAUGAAACCAAAAUGAUGCAUGGUUGACUAAAAGGUUGAGAAAUCAUACUUUGCCAAUCCAUCAAAUAUGGCCUUUCCUAAUUCUUCGUCAUAGUAAACUGGGGAGCUUUUUCCAUGCAUCACACCAGAAGGAACGCGGACAAUCUUCCCUGUAUAUUCAAAUACAUGCAUACUUUCAGUAUGACAAAAGCAGAGGUGAUGGGAAACCUUGUCUCCGUAAUGAUAAAGAAAUCUAACCUCCAAAAGCCUCUCCCAUGCACUGCAGACCCAUGCAAACUCCAAAAAUCGGGAUGGUUGGCCCGAGUUCCAGAACAGUCUGCAAUGAUAUACCUGAAUCUUGUGGUUCACCUACAGAAAAUAAUAAUAUAAUUGUUAUGCUCGGAAACUUGUACUGAUACAAGGUUCGAUAAGAGAUACCUACCAGGUCCUGGAGAAAUAAGUAUUCCUCUUGGGUUCAUCCUACAGUAGAUAAAAACAACAUCGUCAGCAAAGUAAUAAUUUAAUACAGCCCUUUUUGGAAAGGAACUACAUCAAAAUAGUACAUUUGCUCAGAGAAGUAUACCUCUUUACAUCCUCCACGGUAAGUUCGUCAUUACGGUACACCUCAAAAUUUAAUCCAAGCUCCCCCAUAUACUGCAUCAAAAACUCAAUGUCAGCAAGACAUGUUUACCCAUAGCAUGUCAUAUUGAAAUAAACUGCGGCAAGUUUUUUGAUAAUCAAUGGGGGCUAGUCUUCAACAUUUAAUUGCUUCAGAGAAAGGGUGCCUUUUGAAAUGGAAAUUUCGUUGUUUUUAGGAUAGAUUUCAUAUGAUUCCUUGCUACUUUGUUUGUCAGUAAGUUACCAUUACUUUUGAAGACUUCAGAGAACAGGUAAGCAAAUUCACAGCAUAUUUAGCAGAUUCAUAUUGCCAACUGCCAAACUUAAGAAGGUUCUUAUAUGUUAUCAUAUGAUCAUGGAAUACGGAAAAUGCAUCUUUGCAGGCACUUACUCCAUCAUUUGAUUUUAGUACAAACACAACCAAAGAACUAAUCUUAGUCUACCAUCAAGUUUAUCAGGAUUUGUUUUCUGAAACACACACCCAGAUGUGUGCCAUUCUGUGUUAGAAGGAAUUUUCUUACAACUAAUCCACAAACAAACAAAGAAAUAAGAAAUCGAACAAAAAACAGGCAACUGGCAAAAAGAAGUUCACAAAUUGACAAGCAUGUUGCUUCUCAAGAGAGAAACAACAGCCUGGUCAUUGUUCCUGCCAUGUGAUUUUUAAGAUGACGUGUUAUCAGGAAUUCAUAGUAGCAGAAAAUAGAAAUUACUUCAAUCACUAUGAGAGCACUUCUUUUCUUAAAGAACAUUAUGAACAAACACCAAAAGGUUCAGAAAUCAAGAUAAAUUCUUUUGGGUCCGACACGGCAAAGUCAGAUGAGAAAUUGCAGUUGCGCAAAUCUCAAAGUCGAUCGGACAGCUCACAUAUAAAUCUGAAUCCUUAAAAAACAUUGCAUCUUAGGAAGGUAAUUUGGAAUUCCCAAGAAAGAGGGUGGAUUUUACAGUCAAUCAUCUUAGACUUGAGAUUGAAAAAUAAAAGAUUAGAGCAGGGCUAUCCUAUCAGGAUCUAAGGAAACUAAGAAAAUCUCGGUUGAACGUGCAAUGGACGCUCCAUAAACAGAAUACCGUACAAGAAAAAUGGGAGGAAAAAGAAUCUAUGAAACACUGCAAGACAAUCUCAGGCUCUCAGCGGUCGGCCAGUAAACAGGUCGUCAGCAAUCCUCUACGGUGAUAAAAUAUCGCACACAGACAUCAUCUCACCAGCAAUUCGAGAGGGAGAAGCCCACAAAUAACAUGUGAAACCGUAUACCUGGCACAAGUUGUAGGUAAAGCUGUCGUAGUUAUCAAUGACGAUGAUGGGCCGCUUCACCGUGGCCGGGCGUCCGUCCAGGUCAGACACCGGCGCCGCCGCAGCCGGUCCGGCGGCCACGACCACCGACGCCGCCGCCCUCCUGCUACUGAUGACCAAUCCACCGCUCCCAGGACCUGCGAGGGGAAAGGUCCAAUCGAUCUAAGAUGCGCUCGAUAGGGAAGGGGAUGGUAAAACCAGAAAGAGCGAUUCGUACGGAGGGUCGCCGGGAUGCGCGCGAAGGAAACCGUGGGGGAUGUCGCCCGGGAACGCAACGCGGAGGCGGUGGCCGCCGGUGAAGAGGCGGCGGCGAGUUGGGAGCAGGCCAUACCGGCGACGGCGAGGAGGAGGCGGGCGGCUUGCGGGUUUUGUUUUGUCGGAAGUAACGGGGAAGAAGAGUGAGGUGCUGCCUGGGGUUAUAUAGAAGCCAGGGAAGAUUUUGGGUUGGGUUUGGACGAAAUUUCUACCUACCCCGCUUAUUUUUUGCAUUUGCAUAAAUGAACUGUUUUUUUGUUUAAAAACACUAGCAUGUAGUAUAAAACACUUGGCUGUUUGAAUUGAAGACGGAAGACCAUCAUAUAUGGGUUGACAAGACAUGUGAAGGAUUGUAUGGGUCCUUGCCAGCAAGUUCCACCAAAUUGUAGUUCAGGUUUAUACCUCUAAAAUAUAUUUUUCAUCGGUGUAACAAUGAUGUUUGCUUAGUUAUACAAAUUCAAGUCACUUAUUUUGAGAUGGAGGGAGCACAUCAAUAAACCUUUUCUACUGAAAUACUAAGGCAAACUCGUUGAGCAGUUGUGUUGUCCACGGUAAUAGUAUUACCUCUUUUUCCGUAUACAGGGAUAACAUGAUUUUAUAUCACACCAGUUAUAUCAUUAUAAAUUUCAAAUGUUCUAUUUCCUAAUGAUAUAACUUUGCGAUAUAAGAUUUAUAUUAUAUUGAUCGAAUUAGCAAUCUAGAGAUACGCGUAGGCCAUGUAUACCGGAAAGAAGGUAGCAGUAUUUAAGCAUCAUAUAUGAUAGGCAUUGAUUUCAAUGCUAUUUUUACGAAUAGUUAUCCAAAUCAUUGUUCCGUAAGAAAGGAAAGUGGCAGACGAUGGAACUAUUGCGUUUUCUUUUUUUUGUUGUAGCCAUGUCUUAAAAUUCAAAAGUUUCAGUUUGCUUUGGAAAUAAGUAAGACUGAUUAUGGUUCCUAAUAUGGAACUAACCAAUUUGCAUGAAAGAGAUAUGUGACAAUGCAUAUUGCAUUAAUAUGUUCCAAAACACCCCAUGCAAGCGCUUCUGUGUUCACGCAUCACGUGUUUUUUGUAGUCGAAGAAGAUACCUCCCGAAAAAGCAGCCUUACGAACAACACCAUACUUAUUACCACAUUUAGCGAGUUGGACGGCCAUUAUCGAAUUUGGGUACCAAAGUGUGUCAACCACAUAAUUAAGUUGAAUGACGGUGGAUAAAUUCUGCCCAAUUAUUUUUUCACUCAAAUUUAAGACAAAUAUUUGUCUCGAUUCAUUAAUUAAGAGAUAGUAUGACCAUGCCAAAUACCGACUACCCGUUUGCCCAAUCGGCACAAAGUUUAAUCUUUGCUACGAUAGCCGAUGGAAAAGACAAGUGACCUCUCGCCUUCCUCCCGCUUCUUCUUUCUGUUUCUUUUCUCUUUUACGAUUUAGGAGGAGGCUGAACCGAUAAGUCACUUGUGGGAUUGAGAUCGAAUUCUCCCCAAUACGGAGCGAGGUGGCUCCAAAUUGGCUUACGAAGUGGGACAUCUCCCCUAUACCGUUUGGUAUUGAGAGUGAAUUCUACAGGCAAAUUCUGUAACCACCCAAACGCUGGAAUUGAAAGAUGUUCGAUUCCAGUUCCCAACUCCACGUGUGAAUACAUACAUCCCACAUUCCAGUUCUCAAUUCCAGGUCUUGAAUGACUACUCAUUUUGUUUCACCGACGCUCCUCCACUGGUUUUCGCCUAGGAAUCUAGGAUAAACAUACAAAAUGGUACCGCUGCACUGAAUUUCUCUAUGAAAUCUAGAGGAUUUUAUCCCACCCAUCGUCCUGAUUGACGCAUCGGCGAAAUCGGUUCAUCCGAAAAAGAAAAGGGCUUGCUUAGAACAUGACAACGGAACAAAAAAAGCCAAAACGUACUACGAGAUCCAGCACGGAACAUUUCGCCCGUUCAAAAAGUCGUGUGGUAGCCUGGUAAACGUGGUCAGACGCUCACUCGUGCCCGGCGCCUGUAUUUUAGCCACUCCGCCACGAGGAAAAGCCGUUUCUCGUGAACCUCUUGGAAGAACCCUCGUAGCCGCGCGCGCUGGAAUCAAAAGGAUUCCCCCCACUGGUGCCGGCUUCCUAGCGACCAGCGACCAGUAAACAGAAGCUGCAGGUCUCAGAGGUCUCCAUCGGGAUGGGAGACGCCGGUCUUGCUCCUCCACCGUGCAAGGGGGAAGUAGGUGGGGAGGCGGCUACGGGCUACGGCUGGCUCCGUCGUGUCUUGUCGUCCAAUUUUUGGAAAUUCCCGGUCCAGGUAGAUCGGUGUUUUGGCUUCAAUUUUUUAUUUUUCACGGCGAGCGAGCGGAUUGAUCAGCUGUUUCAUCGAUCACCAGCCGGCGGUGCCGAGCUCAGUAUAUGUGCAUGCAGCUGCUAAGCAAAAAACACGAUAAAAAUGGAUUUAUCUCCACAUCAGGGCCGGCCCAGCCGUAGAAAGGUAAUAAUAGCAUUUAUUCCUACCUACGGGGAAGAUAGAUGCCACGAUCAAAACGUAGCAACGCGUUGUGCGUGUGCUCCGUUUUAUAAUCGCUUGAGUUACAUGUGGGGCCGGAAAAUCUCUUGCCCCCCACCCCCACACUACUCGCCAGAAAUUAUAAUGAGUCCAUCGAAGUCUCGUUACAAAAGAAAUCGGAUGUCUCAGUCGCACACUCGCACAAAAACAGUCACUGUAUCUUUCAUGUUCACUGCCCAAUAAUCACUGACGAUGAGCCACCAGCUACAGCGCAUCCAUGCAAACGCAAAGUUCUGAAACGGAGAGGUCAUGGCUCAGUUGAACGCAAAAGCAUUUUACGGCGACGGCGACCAAUGUCUUACUUGGUUGGAAGUACUCGCUCCGUUUCAUAAUUCUUGUCGAAAUAUUAUAUGUAUCUAAACGUUUUUUAGGAAUAGAUACAUCCAUUUUUUAGUAAAUUUGAGACAAGAAUUAUGAAAGGGAGGUAGUAAUUAAUACCAAUAUGUCGGGCUGCACUUUUACCCGGUCCUAGGCAAAUGCGGCUACAUCAAGCUGAUUGGGACCCCGAGACGGCCGGGAGUAACAAGUAACGUACACUGGCGAUUUGGAUAGCCGGAGAAAACGAUCUCGCCCUGAAUGUUACAGAGCCGCGGACGAAAGCUCUUCGAAUGCCUCUUAGUUGUUUUUCUUUGCUUUGCUCAGUUGCUGAUGCACGAGCACAGACAAAGAUUGUUUCAAAUUAUGACGACCCGAGAUCGCCUGUUUCACCUGUGUCUGUGUGUCACGUUUGUUUGAAGGCGCCCGAUGGAAAUUUCUCGGUUUCUUGCUUUGUUGCAAGAGUCAGCCAUAAUAAGGUGCCCAAAAUUCAUUCUUCUCAAGAUUUCUUCCACCAACCAUAAUAAGUCAGCCGCUAGGUGUAAUGUCAUUAAAUUACACAAAAACCACCAUAUGCAGCGUUUCGUUCUACAACCAAUGAACCAAGGUACUACGACCUCUUUUUCGUAAAACAAAAUAAUUGCAAUUAGCGAAUAAUUGGUCAAAGUGUUGUCUUUAAAAUUAAUCUACUAUGGAAUAUCAAUUUUUUAGAACUUUUCAUGAAGCAUCGGUCAACAGGCAUGUCGAUGUAAAUAACGUUGAUCCCUGUCUCAACGCGUUUUAACUGGUGGGACCCCUAGGGUGAUCUGUCACAAUUUUAGACAGCUUACACCUAAUUACUAGCUGUGGAUUCUUUUUUUAUAAACCACUGGCCCAAAGAUAGUUCAAUGCAAAUACCACUAAUAAUUGUAUGAUCUAACCCUUGAUUGGUGAAGUGAUGUGCAGUCUCACCAUUAGAGAAUUACUACAACAGAAGAGUAAAACAAACACGAUUUUGUUUCAAGAUAUAUAAAAACCGAUUAACAGGCAUUCUUCAUAUUAUCCUCAAAAACAUAACAUGGUGAGGUAUAUAUUGUGCUAACACAAUCCGAUCUAGAAGAUGGUAAUUCAUCAAUAAGUGAAUAUAGAUAAAACAUCAUGCAAAUUGUCACCGAGAAACCAUCACUGGCCUUAAACUCAUGGAUCGCACGACAACACAAAAGAUGAGAUAGCGGUGGUGUAAGUGUUGCUGAUUAUAAUGAAGAUGAUAGUGAUGAUGCCUGUCUUUUUUUGCGGGAAAUGCUCAAUGUCAAUGGAUUCGAAGAUGCCAACAGAAACAACUGCGGGGUGAUUCGUAGCCGAGAAGAUAUCAGUGCUCCCAGAUCUUAGGGUGCUACAGUGCUCCCAACGCACGACAGCACCCCUAAAAAGUUCUUAAAAAUUUCGAAAUAAAUUGAGUGGGUUAAUAUAUGUGUCUACCAUAUCACAAAGUUUCAACUCCAAAUUCAUUAUACACAGAGAAAAACAAAAAAGAUAAAUGCAAACAUGAAUAGUGUCAGAAAUUUUGUCUUUUGCGUUUUUGUCUUUUUCCGACCUAUUCACAUUUGAAUUUGUCUUCUUUGUUCCUCUAUGCAUAUAAUGAAUUUGGAUUUGGAACUUUGUGACAUGCUAGACAAAGCAAGAAAACUUUGUGACAUGAACCUACUCAAUUUAUUUCAAAUUUUUUGAAAACUUUUUAGGGGUGCAACCGUGCGUUGGGAGCACGGUAGCACACUAAGGGAUAGGAGCACAGGAUAUUUUCUCAUUCGUAGCCUUCUCCCGGGAGAGAAGAGAGUUGGAUGUGUUUGGAUGAUCACCAAAGUCUACGGGGCUGUUUGGUUUUGUACCUGCGCACACCAAGCCAACUUUGGUGCGUCCAAGACCCCACGGGCUGCUGUUUGGUCCAGUGUCGGCAAAUUGGCUCACCAACGCGGCGCCCGCAAAAAAUCACCCUCAUUUUUGUGCCCACGCGCGGCCUCUGUCAAAUCCUGGGUGGGCCAAGUUUUAGCGUGGUGGGCUGGGACAAAAAUCAAACAAGUCCUACCUUACCAAUAUUUUGGCCAAAUUUUGGUGUUAUUUGGAUGGUGCCUAAUUUUUUUGGCAAACCAAAUGUGUCCUUACGGAUCCUAGUUUUUUUUUUUUUUUGCCAACUUUGACCAACUCAAGGACAAAGAAAACAUUCACCAAAAUUUUGGCUAGCAAAAUAUUUGGCACGGCAAGUGGGGGACUUGGGGUUAAACCAAACAAACCUUCUCCUUCCAUUUUUGUCCUAAACGGUCGCAGCAGAGCCCGGAGUACCCGGCCUGAUCCCGGUAUCCAUAGUUUUAGGCGAUAGGAGACACCUUUCCCUCAACCCAACCCAGAUACCCAAACAAUAGAUCGCACAUGCUGAACCAAACAUUUUCCGUUCCCAGCCCCACGGAACCCCACCAGAGUGACCAGACUCAGCUAGUCUAUCGAGGAAGGGGAAAAAUAUCCUCUUCCCGAGCGACGACGCCGCCCCUUCUGCCCUCGUCGCCAAACCCGCCGUAGACCUCCACCGAAGCGCGCUUGCCAAGCGACGAGCUCUUCCUUCCUGGCAGGCGUUGCCCUCCCUUUUACUGGAUCGACCUACAGUAAAGCUCCGCCCGACGCGAUUCCUCUGUAAGAAACCCUAGCUGGAUCGCUGUUCGUUUUUUCUCCGGUAAUUUCUUUCCUGUGAACGAUCGAACCGACUAGAUCUUCUUCUUCAAGAUCGAUUCAGUAGACCGCAUUCCGCCGAUAGGAUUACCCAAGGUGCGGGUGCAUCCGCAUGUAUUUUGGUGGCUGUUACCGUGAAAUUGAACCAUGACAAAGUACUCCAGCAGUUUGUUUUCCACCCUGUUUUGGUUGCUCGUCGUCUGUGGAUAGUAGCAGCGGUAGCAACUAGCAAGAAGUCUAUGACUAUGUAUGUUGCUGAGAUCUCAUAUUCCUGUCUCUGAAGCCAAUACUAUUUUGGCAAAGAACAUAUACUUUCUCUUUCUGCUUUGACAUUUUGAGUUAUUGUUUAAGUACUGUAUGCCUAUUCAGUUUUCUUUAUGUUAACCUACUGUUCAGCUCACAAAUCACUACACUAGUGAUUAGUUUCUACUUGAUUUCUCGGUGGUUUACUGCGUCAUCUGAGCAAUAUUCUGGAUGCUUUGUAGCUUGCCCCAAGGUUAAAUGGCAAACAGAGCAAGGUGGGUGAUGAAGUAUGAAAAAGGGCUUGUUGAUAUACUGCAUGAGAACAAUGUUUCACACUACCGGACUCCAAAUGGAUGGAAAAGUGAGGGAUGGAGGAAAAUUGUGAAGGACUUCAAUGAUAGGCACCCAGAUGCAGGAUUUAGUAAAGUUCAAAUUCAGGAACAUGAGACCCAACUGAAGAAAGACUAUAAAUUGAUAAAAUCCAUUCUCCAGCGUGAUGGUGUUUCAUGGGACCAAAAUGCAUCUAUGAUUAGAACAACAGAUGAAAUCUGGGAUGAGAUAAUCGAUGUGAGAUAUUAACUCCUACUAUAGUAGUAGUAGUUAUUUAUGAAGCUGAGUGAAUUUUAAUUGUUCAUUUAUCUUUUGUAGGAAGCACCCAAGGCAAGGAAGUACCAAAGCAAGAGUUUUCCAUUGCUUCAGUCGCUGGAACUAUUAUUUGAAAGUAAAUUUCUUCCCUGUCUAGUUGGUCCAGAAGCAUUGUUGGAGGGAAACACAGCUUAACCAAUCUGCUAUCAUGACAGGGGAUAUUCCUGAAGGGGAUCGCAAUUUAACUUCCAGCGUACCUCAGCAUGUUCUUGGAAAUGUUGAUGAGGAAGGCAACAUCAACACACUUCCAAGCUUGUCUGGAAGACCAUGUGGAUUGGUUAUUGGAAGUAUUGAUGAGGAAGAGAACAAUAUCAGUACAUUUCAAAGAACUCUGGAACUAGGACCGCAAGGUCUGGAUGAUCUUGAUCUCCUGCAAAAUCACACCGAGGAGAUCUUGGAAAGACAACAGCCUGGUUCGGCUCCAAAGCCACAAAGAGUUGACGAACCCGCGCAUUCGAGUUCCUGCAUUGAACCACAAAAGGACAAGCGCAAGAAGCGCAAGGCCCCUGACAUCCAACAAACCAUGGAGGCUUAUCUAGACUUCAGAAUGAAACAAGCUCGGACAAAGGAGCAAACCAAAAAGGAUGGGGAACAAUUCUCUAUUUCAAGGUGUAUCAAGGCUCUACAUGCUAUAACUGACGUCUCUGAUCAGAUCAGGAUUCUAGCUGCUGAUGUUUUCAAGGAUGCGUCGAACCGCGAGAUCUUCCUCUCCUAUGAGCCCAGGCUUCGCGCUCUGUGGUUGAAGAGGGAAGUCAACAGGUUACUCUAUUAAUCAGAUCUCAUACAUCAAGGUUUAGUUUUGUCUCCAGAUGAAUGUAAAAAGAAUUAGUCCCCUGCAGUUCUGUGUAGGUUGUAGCAACAUUUGUCUUAGUUCAGAGUGAACUAUUGAUUCUAGGUUCCAAGGCCAAGGUCUACAAAUGUUUCUCAGUCGUGAUCAGUAGCGGCAUAUAGCGUGUUGAUGUUUACUGUUUGAUCUUCUCUGGCGUCAUUGCUUUGACUAACCACUUUGUGCCCAAAAGAUAAAUGGUUUCACUUUAGACUGCCCUUUGAAUUGUGGCGAGAACAACUUGAUCCGCAUUGAUUUGUUGUAAAACAUCAUGCAGCCUUCAUUGAUAUUUAUGAAAUUAUUGCCUCGCUUUUCACAACUUUCACAACACCUAUACGGCCUUGCUUUUCACAACUUUCACAACACCUAUACGGCCUUGCUUUUCACAACUUUCACAGCACUUAGGGCAUUUUCAACAAGUCAUUACUAAGGCGGAUACUUAGAUGAGAAAGAAUAACAAAACUCAAAGAUAGUAACAACCUCUCCAACAAUUGGUUUCUUCACAUUGUUACUAAGACUCAAAAGAUAUCUAUUGUUUGUUUCUUCACAUUGUUACUAAGACUCAAAAGAUAUCUAUUGUUUAUUAUGGUUGGUCCCAUCAAAACAUGAUGCUAAGUAACAACUCAUUCUUCAAUGAUGAUUUAGUGGUUACUUAGACAUUGGUUUUCGUGUAGUACCAGUUUCUCUGGGGAGAAACCAUCUCUUUCUCUUUGCUCUUCUUUUUUCAUCCACAUCAUCAAAAAACUGUCAUGUUAUAUUUUAGUAACGACUGACUCACCUUGUCGGAGAUGCCCUUACAUACGUGCAACAAUCGUCUAGCCGUAAGCAUUAUAUGGAACUUUAGUCGAGUGAAUUCAGAUGGUGCAAAGCAGCAAUAUUCCCAAACAAGGGAGUCAAGCAGUUCUGCCCUUGAUUCAGUAACCAGUGACAAGCACGCUCAGUUUCAACAGUCAGCUACUGCAGCUGCGAUCAUAACAGAAAACGAACGAUCGGAAUCAAGAGCGUGGCGCACAGGGCAGCAAAAGAACUCCGCCAGUUGCCGUAGAUAUGUUACCAAAAUAUCAGAAUGGUGAUUCGGAGGCGCACGCUUCCAAAUGCUCUUGCAACUAGGCAAAUAUCAGUCACACAACAUGAAAAUAUUUCAGCGUUCUGUAAGAGUUCAAGCAUGUGCGCAAACUAAUAGUGUAUAUUAACAAAAUUGUAGGAGCUGAGAUUUCGGCAAGCAUCAUUCCAUGUUUUCAUGUGCAGAAUCCUCCUUAUAAAGUGUUACCUUGAGAAGUGCGGCAUACGCAUUCCAUGAACUUAAUGCAAUCUACAAAAGCCUUGUAACAUAUCAGGAGGCUACAAAGUGCAAGGCAACUCCCACAACAAACAUUCUAACAAAAGCUUAGUUAUUCUACAAUCAGGAAUGCAGAUUGUCUAACCAGCUCAAUUCCUGAAGACGUUGCAAGACACAAGAUAGUACAAAAUAUCAAAAUUCAAUGGUUCAACAGGUAAUGGAGCUCACAUCCAUGACAGGUCCCAUACUCCCAUGGUAAUGUACCUUCGACGAGUAACCCAAGCAGAGCCCAUGCUAGAUUUUUGGUAAUGUGCCAUGCGCAACAACAGGAGCAAAGUUUUCUGGGACAUUGUAGUCCCAAGCUUGAAGCUUUAGACAAUCCUCACCAAAUAAUAGGCUAGGUCAGAGUUAGUUCAUAUCUCAGCACCACAAAUAUCAACCUCUAGACAAAACUGCUUUCUAUGAUGCUUCAAAAUUGUACUUGCUAGGGCAGGGCAUACUCAGAAAUCCAAGGAUUUUUAAACUAUCCAAUUCAAUAGCAUAUGGGUUAUCAUAUGCUCAACAUAAAGUCUUUCUCAAAUAUAGUUACUAAUUUAGUUCACGGACCAUUUUGAUAAACAUUGGGAACAAAGUUGAUACUCAAUAACCAUGCCAGAGAAACCCAAACCUCCCGUGCAUUCAAAGAAAUUUUAGACAAGUCAAGACAUGACUAGAAUAGUAUGACAUGACAUGGCUUUUAUUGUAAGAUCCAAUGUGACAAGUGAACAUCGUGUAAGUUUGUAACCAACACCGUAUUAAGUUUAAUGCUAAGUCAUAUUUCAGUUUACAUUAUUUACAUCAGACUUGUCAGGCUGACUUAAAACAUACUAGUAUGAAGUUUAAACUAAAAUCAGGGAACCAGGUAGAAAGACAGCACGCCACACAUACUACCACUACAACAGAAAAUCAUUUCCUUGUCAAGAAAGACCACUCUCGCAGACUAUUGAUGAAACAGAACCUGAAAAGAUCAUAUAGUGAACAUAUAUGAAAAACCAAAAUAUUGAUGAUGAAAGGAGACAGGACUACAGGAGUGCUACUAAGACACAGAUUGCAUUUGGUCAGCUAAGUAUACUUGUAGGUCAAACAUCAACACUGUAUGUAGACUUUCAAAGGUUAGAUAGAACAUAGAAGAGUUUAAUGUAGGAGAUCGUUCAGUUACCUUAGAAGAGCAGUCACAAGAUUGUAUCACACAAGUGAAAAGUGCAAGAGCUCGACCUCCAGUUUAAACAUCAAGCAAACACGAGUUAACUAGUCAUGAUGUAGUUGAUAAGAAAAUAACAGUCACCGUAUAUAGCUAUUAUAUAUGAUCUCAAGAACUGCAAACAACAAAAGGUCCUCACCAGCAACAUAUGCAUCAGAUACAAUGCAAACAGUCCAAAGAAAAAAAAAGAUACCAAGUUUCCAGAGGCUCUAUAUGGAUUCAGCAUCUAUUCCAAUAUUCACAUUUCUUUAUACCAAAAGCAGACGAUACGCAACAAAACUAGCAUAUCCGGCAGGGCAGUAACAUCCAAAGGAACAGAACUACGGCAUAGAGCUAUUAUAACCAUCACACAGACUAGUAUCUUGGACCCAUGCUACAAGAACGGGAUAGACGCAAUGGCACUCCAUUUGCCAUCUCUCGUCCGAUUCCAACUGCUGGUGCUUUGACUCCUCCUGCAGGCACUGCAUUGUAUUGCUUCCUGCACCCUGGGCAGCGUUCAUCAGCCUCAAGUAUCCUCUUGUGGCAGAAGAGGCACAGGUGAAACCCACAAGGGCAGGGGAGGAAGCUUGAGUCCGUCGGAUCAAGAUCCUCAUAGCAUAUUGGACAAGACAAUGGCAAAGAGAGGACGCUCUGCUGUGCUGCACCCAUCCCCACCCAGCAGUUGCCGAUGUUUGCUGGGAAGCUUGCCUGCUUUGAGAUACUGGGCAGGCUCUGUGGACGGAACAUAUCAUCAGGUGUCCAAGCUCUUGUGUUGCUACAAAUCGGAUCUUUUCUUUUUGCUGCAUUAGCAGAAGGCGUGGAGUCACUUGUGGCUGCUGGGACCACUAUGGCACCUGAACACUGGUGGCGAUGACUGUUAUCAUCGACCGAAAGUGCAUCAGCAACAGCUUCCCAAUCAUCUAACACCCCAUUCUCCUCCUCAGGGCCACUGCCUGUGUCGUCAUCCUCAGCGUCACUCACACUUCUGGAACUAGACCAUAGACUGCUGACACUGCUGAGGCUGGGACCACCACCAUUGCUGGAGCAGCGGUUCCUCUGAGUGCAGCCACCACCCCUGGAGUUGUCCGAGCCAGGACUGUGCAUGGGGGAGUCAAGGUCGCUGCUGCCUACUUCUUGCACGGUAGCACCAGCCUCCUCCGGAGCGCCACCUCUUGACCUUGUAUCCACACGCCGACGGGGAAGUGGAGGGUGUGGCGAAGCUAGGAUUGGAGACCCAGCAUUCGAUCCUCCGCCUGCUGGCGAAGCGGCAGCCUUGGUCUCCUUCCCAUCCUUGACUAGACCAAUCCAAAACGCAAAAGGAUCAGAAUGUGAACACAAUUUUAAUUAAAACACCAAGUCAACACCUAGAUCAACCCCAAACGCAGUAUAGAACAAGAUCAUCCGCUUUUCUAAGCAGUUCCACAUAGGUACUCUACCUCAUCAACCGGCCACCCAAAAGAUGGGACGAACUACGAUCCACCGUGCCAGGAUCCCAACUUCCGCAUACGCACCACCCAAUCCCCACCAAACCCCGAUGAGGAACACCGAAAAACAACAGGUAAAAAAAAAUUAUAUCAGACCAGGAACACGAGAUCAGACCUUGCGACAGCCACUGCUCGCGGCGCGCGUCGAGCUUGCACUGCUUCAGCUUCGCCGACGAUUUCCCCUGCGGAACACAAAAACCCCUCAGAUCAGAUCACCGCCGCGACAGAUUCCGGACCCCCAACCCCCAAAUCAAAAAUCGCAGAUCAGAACCCGGCGAAACGAAAUCCCAAACUCUUACCCUCUUCUUCUUGGCAUCGCGCGCGGCGGCCGAUGCGUGCGAGUGGGCGUCGUCGUAUCCCAUCUAGGCGAAGACCACGCAGUACCAGUUUGCCUCCUCGGCGGCGUGCGCAGGAGCGUUCGUGAAAAACCCUAAAAAGCGGCGAGGAGGAGAGAGGAGGCGGCGGUGCGAAGCGGGGGAUGGGUGGAUGCGUGGGACGGGGGGGCGAUAGAUAACACAGCGCACGAGCGAGGGCGGAGUUAUUGGGGAGGAAGCAAAAUCUUUUCGGAGCUUUUGGCGUUUCCGUUUCUUCUCGCUUUGCGUUUAUUAUUAAAUCCCGGGCCGGACAGGUCGCAGGUGGCGACGAGAAUGACGAUCCUGCCCUCGGGGUAGGGACGGUUGGGAGCUGGGGUCGGCGCACGGGAGGAGAGAUCUCGGCCGUCAGGUUGAUACGGUUGGGUGCCGACGUGGUGGGGCUAAAGCGGAACGGAACGGAACGGGAGUAUGCUUUUUUUUUAGUUUUCUCUUUCUGCGGAGACGAGCGUUGUGCUGGGAGUGCGUUCUAUCUCUGGUGUAGCAGUACCACGUUCGCUUCGAUUGCGACCGUCCGAAUAUUUGAGUCCAUCAGUUUCAAGAUGCCCGGGCUUCUGCUACAAGCCUACAACCAGGAAAAGGAUAUUUUUAGAAGGGCUUGGUAAACUGCAGAACUGGAAGGUUCUAGGGCAUGCUGGAUGCUUGGCUCUAGCUUAUUUGAGUUUGUCGAACAACAGCUCGAUGAGAAAUGCGUUGUAACAGAAGUUUGGCAUCGAUGACCUACAUGAAGCCAAAUCUAGUACAAGUAACAAUUGCUUUGUAAGGCAAAUUGGAUUCUCUUACGUAACAGAGAAAAAUGUAGGGAUUCAUCCAAAAAAAAUAUUAAUGCAGUGUCCCAGACGGCCAGACCCUAUCUUACAACAUACUGGCGUUGUAUAUCACCAUGUUCAAAAUUUCCUUUCCCUUGCCCCCUGCAAAUGCAUCGAAAAAAGAAUCGGUGCAGAAGUCCCGAAGUAAAGAUGAAAGCCAUGAAACAGCUAGCUCUGCAUCAACACGGCACUAAAAGCAUGUGGAGAUCAGGUACGGCAACCAGACCAAUCCAACCGUACAUCAUUGUUCUGGUACGAGGUAUCUAGCACGUCCUUCCACAUGGCAGUUUCUGUGCUUCCCCAUACUAACAUUUUAACAAAAAAAAGUUGGGGCGAGAUGAGCAGCAGACGAAUACCAUACCCAAGUUCAUCUAGCAGGACGAAGCGAAGAAGAAAUCAAACCUGCAAUCCGCUAUUACUCUGUGUCACUUCGCAUUUAAAUGUAACUGAACAUUAACUAACCCUCCUUGUGGUCCAUCUUAAGGUCAUCAAAUAAACAUUUACCCUGAAUGGCCAUUUUAAGGACUCAAGGACGAUGUUUGCAUUAGCACUAGAAAGAAAGAGCGCAUCGCGGAUUCAUGGACAAUGUCUCGCAAAACCAAGGAAAAGGGGAUACUGGAUUUGCUGAACCUGUAAAUUUCUUCACUCCACUGCAUCAGGGCUGUGUGUAACCUGCGCACAGAACAAUUCGUUCAGGAUAUACGAUGUUGAAAGUGGAAUAACAGAAGAAAGAGAUGAUGAAAGAAUGUUUAGUUUCCUAGGCAAAUAUGCCAGAUAAAAUGGGAUAGUGAGUUACCAUGUCAUGUGCUGUGGGACAUACAUCUUCGCAUAUGUGAAAUGCUUUUGCAAUUAAUGGUUGGGGGCAGAAAACUAAACAUGGACAAAGAUCUCGUGACUGUUGGAUCCAGCCAGUCUGAAUCAGUGCUAUGAUGCAAGCAUAUCAGUAUUCAGUAAGCACGGGAUCCACCUUGUCUGAACCAUCAAAACCCUUUUACGAACCUGCCAUCCUCCAAGGGCAGGGUGAACCAACAACACUUUCCUCUUCUUUCAUAUGAAGACUGAAGUCAUGCAGAGAGAAUGGAUCAGUGAGAGGCAUUCUCCACAAGCAGUGUUACUUUCUUUUAAAACUUGAUGUAAACUAAUACAAAUUCAUAAUCCUCGGAAACUUACAGGCAUCACUCCAAACUAAUACGAAAGCAUCAAUUUGCUUAAUGCGCUGUAAGGUCAAGGAAUUUCAAACAAACACAAAAUAUCAGUAUUUGAUCCGAGGCUUGACCUGUAUAUCUUCCUCCUUAUUCCCAAGAGAUAUCGCAAGAAAAAACUCAGGUAUACAAAAUUACAUUGAAGGAAGCUGUUAUAUCUUCAAACAAAAUUUUAACAUGAAGGUUACAGUCAUUUUUGUUAAGUACCAUGGUGAAGAAGAACUGCAGCAAUUGUGACAUGUGGACACAAUUUGCAGAGGCUGACAAAUGCAUUGGUACAGACAUGCAAAUUUUUACCUCACAAAAAUGCAUAUGCAGUGCAUAAAGAAAUUCAUGCUCAAAAGCACUUACACAUACACAUGUAAUCCGCUCAAGACACUUUGCUUCUUAUUUAUGUGGUAGACCUCAAGGUUAGCUAGAAAAAGAACACUGAUCAGCGUUAUUCCUAGCAAAAAAUGGUUCGACAAAAGUAAACUCUACACAUGAAGAAACAUGACGAACAUGGACUGAAUUUACCAUUAAUCACUCACCAGGAAGUAUAAGUAGUAGACCUGCCACCUAAUGAUGCAUCUAGGACACUUUUUGUAGGAGAACAACAGAACACCUCUCUGGCUGUUCUAUUGGCCUGGUUCUGUGACCCUUCGAUUUUGAUCCAUAUGUCAGCCUUCUCUUUCUCUGACACUGGGCUAGACACUUUUUUUUACGAGGUAGCAGUCCAACACCGCACCCACCACCACCACUCCCUCAACAGUUACCUUCAGUAAUGAGCCAAUGCUGUCAAUGAUCAGCUGAUCUUCUGAUCCAGCUACAUGACUAUAACUCUCUGUUUUGCAAGAUCAAUUUUGUCUCAUUACACACAUAGUACGAGUAGUCAAUUGGUUACAUUACCAUUCUACAGGCCGAGCUGCAGCCUUAUGCAUAAUUGUUAACUCAUCCCCAAACAUCAACAGCACUCCAGCCUACACCCUUUUCCACUCCAUAAUUCUUCAUCGUGUCUCUCAGUUUCUCUAUCUCAUCCCAUUUUUCAGCACUGCCAUAUGAAUUCGACAUUAAAAUAUAGUAUCCAUCAUUUCUUGGGUCAGAAGAAAAUGCCUUCUUUGCAACUCUUAAUCCCAUCUCAAAGUUGUCAUGCACUUUGCAGGCACUAAGCAAAGUUCCCCAUACCCCACCAUCAGGUUUUAUUGGCAUAGCCAAAACCAGAUCUUCUGCUUCUUGAAGAAGCCCAGAUUUUCCUAAGAGAUCUACCAUGCAUGCAUAAUGCUUCAGGUUAGGUUCAAGGCGGUAUCCCCCCAUACGGAUGAAAAGCUUCCUGCCCUCGUCAACAAGUCCUGCAUGGCAACAAGCAGACAGAAUGGCAAGAAAAGUGAGACUGUUAGGCUUAAUGCUUCCUGCCUCCAUCUCACUAAAUAGUUUCAAUGCCUGAUUUGCUUCGCCAUGCAUCCCAUAGCCUGAUAUCAUCACAUUCCAUGUAACAACAUCCCGUUGGAGCAUAGAAUCAAAAAUCCCUCUUGCAGUUCCAAGUUGCCCACAUUUAGUAUACAUGUCAACAAGUGCUGUACUAAUAGAUACAUCAGAUUCCAACCCCAUAUUUUUCACAUAAGAAUGUAGCAAUUCUCCAUGUUCCAGUGCAGCCAAAUUCGCACAAGCCGAAAUGACAGUAAUCAAGGUUGAGGAGUUGGGUUUGACAUCUUCAGUGAGCAUCUGACCAUAUAGUGAUAAGGCAUCAUUUGAACGUCCCACGUGAGAAUAGCUGGAUAUUAGUGCAUUCCAGGUGACAACAUCCCUCCUCAAUUUGGCCACAGCAAAUAUUUUGCAUGCGAGUUCAAAAUUCCCACAUCUUCCAUACAUCCCAAUUAACGAAUUUGUAAUUGAAUUUUCAUCAAGCAAGCACUUGAUUGAAUAACAAUGAACUGAUUGGCCUAAUCGUAGUCUCCCUAGCCGUGAACAAGAAGAGAUUGCAGAAACUAAGCUGGUGAUGUCACACAAAAAUUCAUCAUGAUCUCUGCACUGCAUUUGUCGGUACAACUCCAAACAUUUGACAUCAAGUCCAGCUUUGCAGUAUCCUGCAACCAUCAAACUCCAUGAUUCAUCAUCUCGUUGAUGCAACAUUCCAAAAACUGUGCCUGCAACAUCCACCAAUUCAAAUUUUCCAUACAUUGAGAUCAAAGAAUUGGCAAUCAACACACUAUCUCCAAAGUUUCUCCUUAUUAUAACUGCAUGAAAUGCCUUCCCUCUAUUUACAUUAGCACUGCUUCCCAGCCCUGAAAGUACACAGCUAACAAGCACCUCAUCUGGCUGUAGACCAGACUGCUCCAUCUCCUGGAACAACUCCACGGCCUCCCUGGCAAGCCCUCUCCUGCAAUAGGCUCCAAUUAAGCCAGUCCAGCUAACCACAUCUUUCUCUGUCAACUCUGGGAAUAAAAUGCAUGCAUCCUCAGUCAUGUCACACUUUGAGUACAUUGAGAAAAGCGCAGAAACCACCAAUGCACAAUCUCUAAUCCCUUCCUUCACCGCAUACCCAUGCAAGCAUCUCCCGGCAGAUAGCUCCCCUAGCACUCCGCAGGCCUCCAACCCACUCUCCAUUGUCCGUGAGUUCGGCCUCGCCCCGCUAUCACCUGCGAGCCUAAUCAUCUGCACCAAGUAGCAUAUCCCCUUCCCACAUUCCCCAUUCCGCACGCACCCCGAGACCACGGCUGUCCAUGCGACCACGUCCCUCUCGACCAUUUCGUCGAACAGCUUGACAGCGUCGCCAAGGCUGCCGCACCUGGCAUACAUGUACACCAAAGACGACGAGACCGCGACGGAACCAUCGCCGGCCAGGAGGCCGAACUUGACGGAGUAGCUGUGCACGGAGGUGCCGACCGGAAGGGCAGCGAGCUCGGCGGCCGCGGAGGCGGCAAGGGGCGCGGUGAACCGGGAGGGCCGCGCGCCAGACGCGCGCAUGCGGCGAUGGGCGGAGAGCGCGGAAUCAAAGUCGGAGGCGCAGUGGUGGGAGCGGAGGAGGGAGUUCCAGAGGAAGGUGUCGGGGCAGGGGGAGGCGGAGAAGGCGAGGGUGGCGAAGCCGGGGAGGCCGGAGGAGGAGUAGGCAGAGACGAGCUUGGCGGCGAAGUCGGGGCGAGAGGAAAGGCCGGAGGUUGAUGCUAGGGCGUGCAGGCGGAGGAGCGCGAUCAGCGGCGGGGGCGACGGCGAGGCUAGGAAUCGGUAGAGGAGGCCGAGAGUGCUGGGGAUUGGAGGAGGACGAGAAGGCGGCAUGGAGGCUUGUCGUUUGUUUUCAAACAGGUUGUUCUGGAAAUUGCGCGUGUCGAAUGAAACACAGGCACAAGUUUCCAAGUAUAACUGAAAUUUGGUGUCCAUGGGCAGCAGCACACCGCUUCUAUUUGCAUUUUUUUUCAUGUAAAUUUUCUCAAAACUAAUUUUCACGGAUUUUUUUAUAAAAGACUUGUACUCCGUAACACGUGAUAUGACCUAGAGUUUAUAGCAGAUCAACGUAUUCGCAAAUGAUCACGUAGCAGCUUGCUGAACUCGUCAGAUGCAUCCACAUUCGCAGGUAACGCUCAAAGAAAAUGGAAAGACCCACUGAAAGUAACGUACUAAUAUAAGAGCAAGUCCAGCAGCUCCCCGAUAGCAUCCCUGAUACCAAUUUUAGGGGAGAAAACCCAAAAAACGAUGUCCACCAGAUCCCGAUAGCCUCCCCAAAAUAUCCGUGUCCCCGAUCCAGCCCUCCUUCUCCCCUACAAAUCGGGGAGACCGAGGCCUCCCCUAUCCGCGUGAGGAGCAAUCCCUCCCGCCAAAACGAGCCUGGCACCACGUCCCGGCCCUCCUUCUCCUUUCUCCCGCCACAAGCCAGCCGAAGCCAGACACGAGGGGCGGCGGCCAGCAUGGGGGGGCGGCAGCGGCCAGAUGCGGCGGCCAGCAAUGUGGGCUGCUCGGUGGGGAAGAGAGAGAGGAAGAUGCGCGGGCUGCUCGGUGGGGAAGAAAGGAGAGGAAGUAGAGAGGGAGAGGAGAAAGAGAUAAGAAAUAGGUGGAGAGGGAGAAAGAGAUGAUAAACAGAAGGAGAGGGGAAGAAAUAGAUUAAAUUGUUGCAAUUUUGUGUGCAUUACAAGAGAAACAUUGCAUUACGUAGAAAACAAUACAGGCACCGCUUACACCCCACCAUGAUUUAAAAACAUAUUAGAGAUCUCAUACACUACAUUAUGAGAAUGACGUCCUGAAAGUGAACCUCGAUGGCGCGGAGCAUCCAACCCCGCAUGUUCUUCCUCAGCUAUGACCGCAACCAUCAUGAGAUCCUCAGGAGGAAUCUUUGCAAAAUUGCCAUGCCAAGCUUCGGCGGUGACUCAUUUUGUUGUGGAAAGAUGCAAGAGCGGUGAAAACGAAAUAGAAAAGGAGGCAGAAGCAAGAUUGUUAGAGAUAUGAGAGCAAGCCAAUCAUGUAUAUAUAGAUAAAAAAAACUAGCCAUUAGAAAUCCGGUCGUUUUAAAACUAGCACUGAGUUUCAAAUAGAAUAGGGGAGAUCUUUUAGGGAAACUGCUGGAGUUGAACAAUUUUUAGGGGAAAAGGAGACAGAAGCAAGAUUGUGAGAGAUAUGAGAGCAAGCCAAUCAUGUAUAUAUAGAUAAAAAAAACUAGCCAUUAGAAAUCCGGUCGUUUAAAAACUAGCGUUGGUUUUCAAAUAGAAUAGGAAAGAUCUUUUAGGGGAACUGCUGGAAUUGAAUAAUUUUUAGGGGAAAAGGGGGCAGAAGCAAGAUUGUGAAAGAUAUGAGAGCAAGCCAAUCAUGUAUAUAUAGAUAAAAAAAACUAGCCAUUAGAAAUCCGGUCGUUUAAAAACUAGCGUUGGAUUUCAAAUAGAAUAGGGAAGAUCUUUUAGGGAAACUGCUAGAGUUGAACAAUUUUUAGAGGAGAAAUUUUUUAGGGGAAUCACCUAUUUUGAGAUAUAUAUAUAUAUAUAUAGGAAGACAUUUUAGGGAAACUGCUGGACUUUGCCCUAACGUCCUAGCACUUCAGCAAUAUUUUGGCAAAUACAUCUGUCACAGGCUUGAUGGCACACUAUCGUAAUUCGUAAGCACGUUCGCCAUGUAAUGGCUUAUUAUGAGAGCAAUGUACAGAAGAUUCAGUCCGUGCUCACUGAUGUAUCUCGUUUUCAGAAUUUGAUGGCUCCAUUCUCCUGACAUGAGUGGUUCAUCUUAGUCAUCUACAGCUUAGAUGGAGACAGAUACCAUCCGUAUUUCUCAUCUGAGCAGUACUUGGUGACUUGCUUCACGCUCAAGUAGUUCUCGAGGCCCCUGAAAGCAACAGCAAAGAAAAUUUAGAGGGAUAUACCAAGUAACUUUAACAACAACAAACGAUUCAGAGGAUAUAGAUUGCAGAGUCAUUGCUUCAUCAGCCCAGCAGCAGUUCGUGGAAUCUAGCACUUGGUGUAUAAGUAUGACUAAUUACAUGUUUGCAUUUUUUAACACGUGUAUGUUUACAGCUAACAUCUCAAAAAGGAAGCUUACCAUUCUCCUAGCUCUCGACCAAAACCGCUCCGCUUGUUCCCUCCCCAUGGAGCUUGAACCAAAGUUGGUUGCGAGCAAUUUAUCCAAACAAUUCCCGAGUUAAUAACCUGCAAAUGGGGGAUUCACGGGAUCCACAUGUAUCAGAUCAAUGAAUACUUGGGUUUCGUUGCAAGUUUAAAAUCGAUGGGGUACAUUGUAAGUCAAGUUCAAUAUACCUUUGCAAUGCGCUCACACCUCUCCAGAUCAUCAGAAAUCACACCACCAGCCAAACCAUAGCUGAACGGAGUGGUAGAGAAGUCAUGUCAAUGAUGUAAGCUACAAAAAGUUCUCAUGUUUGCAAAAGUCAAGCAACUCACUGAGUAUCAUUCGCAAGUUCUACAGCUUCACUCUCUGUCCUAAAUACUUUAACACAGAUGACUGGUCCAAAGACUUCCUCUCGCCAAAUUUGCAUUGAUGUGCUAACAUCAGUUAUAAUUGUAGGUUCGAUAAAGAACCCUCUUCUGAGAUGCUGCCAAAUCACAAAUGUAGCUUGGAUGAAUAACGGGUGACAAGAACAUGUAACAUAAUGAUCCAUGCUUACCUUAGGUCGGUCACCGCCAUACAAAAUUGUGCCACCUUCACUUCUUGCUGUUGAGAUGAACUUCUUAAUCUUUUCAUACUGAAAUAAGAAUAAGUGGUGGUUUAAAUAAGAUUUACCGACUACUGAGUUACAUAGUGGUGCAGCAUUCAGUUCAAGAGACAUCUCAAUACUAGUUAUAGAAUACCACAUGCACACAACUUCUAAGGAAACUCUAUACAAGCUAGUUUCACUACUGUUAUAUUGCAAAAGCUAAAUAGUUAUAUUGCAUUGCAAAUUAUCACUACUGUUUUGAACAAUUAUUGAUUAAAUUUAACUUCUACACCAGAGUCUUAACAGGUCUACAAAAAUGUACAUAUUUGCAACCAAACUUAAGUUCAAUGGGCUCCAUUUUUGUGUUACCUGCCCUUCACUGACAACUGACCCUAGCCUGCAACCUUCUUCAAGUGGAUCUGAGAUUUUUAUAUUCUUUGCCCAUUCAACCAGUCUGUCUAAAAAUCGUUCUGCAAUUUUCUCCUGUUACAGUACGAAUAUUCAUGUCAUGUAAUAGAAAAUAACUUAAUGUCCGAAACAACCAGGAGAGCAUACAUACAUGGAGAAGUAAACGAGAAGUUGCACUGCAAACUUGACCACCAUUCACAAAACAGCCAAACAUGGCCCAUUCAACAGCUGUUUCAAGUUCAGCAAGACUAUAAUAAUUAACACAUCAAUCCACAAUUAGCUAAAACUACUUAUCAACGAAAUAUGUAAUAUCGACAUUUGUUCUUCCAUAACCCAGAGAAUUGUGGACUCUGAGUUAAAGUGGAAGUAAAUGGACUACGAACAUUGUGUGACAUCCAAGGGAGGAACAUACCUUUGUCAAUGUCAGCAACAUCAUCAAAGAUAAUAAGAGGACUUUUGCCACCCAGCUCCAGUGAAACAGGCUGUGUAAGAAGAUAAUGCACAACAGAAUGAGAAUAAUGGGAAUAUCAAAUCAAAAUUCAUGGAAUUCUUGAACCAAAAAUUAGCACAAGCACAGAAGAUCACAAGUUAUGGCAACUGAAUGAUAUAGGGAACACACCUUAACCAUUUGGGCAGCAGCAGUCAUUAUCCUCUUACCAGUUUCGGUACUUCCAGUAAAAGCAAUCUACAUGCAGGACCCAAAGAUAAUUUUAAGAUGAGCUUGAGGAUUGAUGAUAUUCAUAUAAGAUUAUGUGAUACUAUGUCAGUAAGAUAAUAACUCGGUACGACCAUGAGCAUAUGAAAAUAUAUAUCUGAAGAAUAGGUCUGACCUUAUCCACAUGGGGAUGUGAAGCUAUUGGAGCACCCGCAUCAGGGCCCAUACCAGUAAUUAUGUUCAGGACUCCUGAAGGUAGUCCUAUUUCUUCACAUAUUGCGCCAAGUUCUAAACAAGUUCUGUUUUUGAACAGAUUUUAGUCAUGUGAUACAAUAAUCAUGUAAAGGACAUAAAGGCAUCGAGGCUUACAGAGAAGCCAACUCAGAUGGCUUUAAAACAGCUGUACACCCAGCAGCCAGGGCAGGUGCAACCUUCCAAGUAGCCAUCAAUAGAGGAUAAUUCCUUCAUUUACACAAGGAAAAGUCAAAAUAAUUAGAAUUUCUAACUUCAGAGACACAGUGUUAUCAAGUACAAAAGUCAACCGAUAAAGAAUUAUAUUAAUUUGAUUCUUAAUACUUAAUAGAAUGACCAAUUUUUCCAUAAAAGAAAAGAAAUGACCCAUUUGUUCAGCAUGUGCUCGUAGAAGACUAAACAACAGUCUUCUGUAUGAUAGGAUUUUAGAAUUUCCGCUUGUUCAUCAAAUAUCAACGGAUCAACCAUAAGUACUUAUGGAAGUUGGAAGACAAAAAAAACAUGUCUACCAUGAAGUACAGCACCCUCAAAAUCUCAAGGACAACAGCUUCGAAACAGUCUUAGGAAGAAAAAAGGACAAGUGAACACAUAAAAGAUAGUACAACAUCCGCAUGUAGUCAUGGAUUGAAAGCCAAGAUUAUACCAGGGUGUGAUAAGUCCGACAACCCCGAUGGGUUCUUUAAGAACAUAGGACUUGAAAUUUUCCAUGGGCAGAGAUAUUGGUGCAUGUUGUUUCGCGUCUAAGGCUUCUGCCAGACCAGCAUAGUACUCAAAGCAUGCAGCAACAUCCUCCUAAGAUAAGAUGGAAAAGGCAUCAAAUGGAACAUUGAGCAUCUUCAGGCACAAGAAACGUUAUAACGUGAAUAAUAAUAAAAUACCAUGUCCGCAAUUGCUUCAUCCUUGGGCUUUCCGGAAUCAAGUGUCUCCAGCAAUGCCAGAAAUGAUAUCUUAUCUUUAAUCUGCACCAGAAUUCGAUAUUUCAGGAAAUUUACUGCCGGUCAUAACAAGCGUACCAAUGGACAGAUGGACAUCAAUUAUUGAAAGCAGAGACAAUAGGAAACUCUCUCGUGCUAACACAAAUUUCGACUUUCAGUCUUCCAUUUAAAAUACAGCAGAACAACAUGAAUAUAGUAAAUGUUACAUAUGUCUCAUGUGAAUAUGAAAUUAUUGUCAAAUAUUAAGAUCUAAAGGAAUGUAAUAAGUUCACAUGGUAAAAAGUUAUUAAAAAACUGAUAAUUUUCAACAACUAGCCGAUUGACCAGCGUGACUAUGCAGAGUGUAGUACUCCGUAUUGUAUAAUGUGCGCAGUUUAAAUCUUUGGGUUCGGUGUUUUCAGAGAAAACGAAGGUGACAUCCUUCAACAUCAUGACUGGAUGCUCAAUUGGAAUCCCUAUUUUGAAAAUAACCACGUGAUAGAGAAGUUUAGUGGAACCAUCUACAGGGUUUGCACCCUCUACCUUCGAAUUAAGCAUACUGCUAACCUAUUUUCUUUCCGGAUAUACUUGCAAGUUAUUGAUAAAGCAACUAUCAAAUAAAAGCCUUUAUAAAGGAUCGAACAAUUUAAGGGUCGGGUCCAGUGAUUUUCUUAUUAGUGAUAGUGUGUAACAAUUGUAGAGCUUAUUAUAAAACACAGAUAGUAAUUGGACUUGAUCAAAUAUUUCGGGAGAAGAUGCACGGCAUUAAGGGCACCCUUUCCUUCAGCCCCCAGAAACCAACUUCGUUCAUUCAGACAAUGAUACCGCAUUAGCUCCGCAAUUCCGUGUAUAAAUCUACUUUUUAAGAACAUGUAACAUCAACCUUCCAAGAGAUUAAGCUGGCCUUGCCAUAGAUAAGAGAUCGGCACCUUAGCGGCGAUGGCGUUCAUAUACUUGGCCCUCGCCGCCCCGGAAGCGCGCGACCAGCUGCUCCCGCCGUCGCGCGAGAACGCGUCCCGCGCCGCCGCGACGGCGAGCUCGACGUCCUCCGCCGUGGCCGCCGGGAUGUCACCUUCACCAAUCACCAACCGCACAACAAACCAAAAAGCUCAAGUCAGUACGGUACUACUGCUAGUACUAGUACCGGUGACCAAAAAUCUCGUGUUUCAGGGACACGGAGGGGGGAUGAUGGGGAUGGCAAAAGUAGUUACGAACCGAUGGUGUCCUCGGUGGCCGGGUUGAUGACGGGGAUGCGGCGGCCCAGGGUCGGCUCGCGCCACCCGCCGCCGAUGAAGAGGCCGCGGCGGGGGAUCUCCGGUCGGGCAGCCAUGGUGGUGUUGUGGUGGUGGACUGGUAGUAGUGCCGUAGCAAAGAGGGGGCGGGCGGACUAGUGCUGUGCUGCGGUGGCUCCUGUUGCUUUUGCAGUUUUGCUUCGACUUUGGGCGAGCACGCCUCCUUGAUUUGAUCCGGCGAUCUCAACUCAAUCAAUCGAUCAAGCGUUGGCCGCGUCGCAUCUUCCCCGACGCCUCUAUUUAUUUAUUUUUUGAAAAGAAGAAAAGAGAGAAAGAAGAAGAUGACGACGAUACGGGAUGGAUUUUAACCACGUUCCACUUCCACCACGGCCACGUGAACAGGUUGUCGCACGCGCGCGUCGUGUACGGCCCGGAAGUCCCACCAGUAUGCUUUGCUCGUGUUUUUUCUUCAAGGCCCGUCACCUUUUUACCUGCCUUCUCCACGUGCCGACAUGCAUAUCGUUUCAAAGGCGCUUCUGGGAAAGAUUCCCCCGUCCAGUCGGUGCUCAAAGGAUUUUCGUGCCCAGAAAAUCCGCCGUUUCAACGUGACCAUGCACACACGCUCGUAUCAGCGAGGAUUGCGGCUUUGUUCUCCAUGACGCAGCAAAUCGAGUCCCAGUUAAAAUUUGUUCCCAGUUUCUUGUCAGGGUCACAUGGUGUGCAUUCCACAUCAUUAUCUCGAAAAAAAAAAAUCCUCCCUACAACAAAAGAUGUUUCAAUUUUGUCAAAAUUUGUAUGUAUUUGGACAUGACUUAAUGUAUUCAUGUAUUCACGGGAAACAUGAGUAUUACACUACCUGUUUUGAUAAAAAAAAGGUAGGGUGUACAUAUAUCACAAUCGUCUAUUUUUUAAAAUCUCAAUCAGCAUGUCAAAACCGUCUAUUACUAUCUGAGUGGCAUGUACAUUCUUCUCUUUCCUCUCAUUUUGGGUGUGUAAAUAGCUUUAUUCUGCGCCUGGUAAAACUUGUAGUUAGCGCCUGUUGGUGAGGAAGGGGCAUGUAGGCCAUCUGGGUGCGUUAUCUGUCGUGUGAAUUGAACAUUGUUUCGUUUGUCUGAUGAUAAAUGGAACAGGGCAAGGCCUUUUUCUCUAAAAAAUAAUCUUAAAAACAUAAACUAGAUUCGAUAGCUAAGCAAUCGACUUAUCUCUAACUAAAAUCACGUGACUUAGAUGUAACAAAACCGUUUUUAAAGAUGUGUUGAUGCGAGAGAUGAGAUGAGUGUGGAGAGGGAUAGUAGUAGUUCCUUUAGAACAGAUUAAGAUUGAUGUUCUUCAAAAAAAUUUAAAAAGAUGAUAAUUUAGAGGAAAAAGGAGAAAAAAAGAUUGAUUUUUUUUAGACGAGGAGGUAAAGAUUGAUGUUCUUUACUUUACAGAAAGUAUGUAGGCCCGAUGGGCUACAAAAGAAGUAAUUAAGUCUGAUGGGGUGGACUAGAAUAUUAGUCCGAUAAUGAUGCAACGGAAGUGUAUUAUGGCCCAUCUGAUUUGAAAAUGUCAGUAGGCCGUAUGGGCCAGAUUACAGGUAAAUCUUGGCACCCUAACUAAUCAAUGUUUGGCUCAGUGGAAACUCGAGUGCAACUCUUUGAGACGCAUCGAAUUCAGAGUUUCAGACAAGGGGGCAGCACAACAUCUCAGAGCCCCUGGUCACUUUCCAGGUUUUUGCAAUCCAUAAUUCUACGUAGAGUUACAAGUUUAUGAUCAUGGUUGGCUUUGCUCGCUGCCACUCGAAAAUUUUGCGAAGCUCGAAGAGGGAAAAAAACAUCGAGUUACCACAAAGAUACAGACAACAGUACACCGGUAAAUAACAACUGCACACAGCAGUAGCAGUGUAGCACACGGUCUCCCGAGCUAUCCCUCCUACACGUGCAACCCCUUGACCGUCGGAAAAAAAUCCCGCGCGCGCAUGCGCUCCACGUCCGGAUGGCCAAGACUUCGGAUCGAACGGCGGCACGAGCGAUGUGUCUCGCGGCUCACCCAACGAGUCUCCCGCAUCGGCUCGCCCAUCGUCAGCUCGCCCGCAUCGGCUCGCCUGCGUCCGCUGCCCUCCCUGUCAACCGUCUAUCGGAUCGAGCGAGCGAGCGCAGCGCUGCAUAAACUUAGGGCACCCACGACGACGUCGAUCGCCAACGCGAUUGCCGCCGCCCGCCCCCGAUUGCCGCCGCGCCCAUGAUCUCAUCGGGUUCCGCACGCGCAGGAUGGAGAAUCGCGUGAUCGUCAUCCCGCCGCGGCCGGUCGCCGUGGCCGCCGCUGCGCCAUCGUCGUCCCCGUUGCCGGCUCUGGAUUGCACGCACGCUGCUAUGUUGCCGUUGGUCCUCAGGUAACUGCUGUUGCUGCUCAUCCUGCAGCUUUCCACGAUUGGAGUUCAUCGAUGAUGAGCUCGACAACGCUGUCCGCAGAGCAUGAUUCCUGUAGAAAAAUUCUAGCAUUUCUCUCCUUCCAGAUUCUCCAGUGGAUUAGGAUGGUAAUUGUGUCGAAAUCUCUCCACAACAGCUUGGGAGCACAUUUUCUUGCCGUAGUCCACCAAUCCUCACGGGAAUGGGGAAGUUGGCUCUGGACCAGGCUCGGAGGCGAAACCAAACUUGCUUGGAGAAGCUGCAAUGCACAACCAAUAGACCAAGCUUACAAGAACUGACAGAAGAUACUGAAGGCCUGAAGCUGUAGUUUCUGAACUGAACCAGAAACAAGAAGCUCCAGCUAGCUUCCUUGUUGAAUAUCAAUUGAAGAUCGUCCGACAUGAUCUACCAAGCAGAAUCAUGCAACAUAAAUGAGAAAAAUAUACUAAAGAGAAUCAUCAGACGGAGUUUGAGAUUUAAUUUAUCAAGAAAGCUUGUUGGGGACAAAGACCGAACACCUCGUGGGCGGUGGAGCUUGCACUGUGUAGAAGCCGACUAGCGUCGACAAUGGCAGGCGAGGAAGGCCGACGACGGCGAGCUCGGCACUGUGUAGAGGCGGUGGAGCUCUAGGAGGCGCCGGGCGUCGAGGAGGGCCGGCGACGGCGAGGUCGGGGUCGGCACGAUGGAGGAGCCUGUGAAGACGAGGUUGGGGUCGGGGUCGGCGCGGUGGAGCCGGUGACGGCGAGGUCUGCAUCCUGCGCGCGCGGAGCCAGAUGAGAUCAUGGAUGCGGCGACAAUCGGAGGCGGCGCCGGGGCGAAGCCGUGGCCGGUGUUGGCGAUCGACUUCGUCGUGGGUGCCCUAAGUAUGUGCAGCGCUGCGCUCGCUCGCUCGAUCCGAUCGACGGUUGACAGGGAAGGCAGCGGACGCAGGUGAGCCGACGCGGGCGAGCUGGCGAUGGGCGAGCCGACGCGGGGGACUCGUUGGGCGAGCCGCGAGACGGCAUCGCACGUUCGAUCCGAAGUCGCGGCCAUCCGGACGUGGAGCGCACGCGCGCGCGGGUGAGCCCAGCGCCCACGCGAUUUUUUUCCCCGCCGUCACGGACUCCUUGAUAACGUCCUCCUCCUCUCCCGGCUCCACCCACGGUCGCCGCGUCGUGCUCAUGCCCCCGUGCGCUUGUACUGGUACCGGCUAGCGAACACCAGGAACACCGCAAAGUUCACCACCCCUAGCACCGCCAGCAUCCAGUAGAAGAGGUCCAGCCUCCCGUCGUCCAGGUGUCCCCGAAUCCACGCGCCCCGCGUAACGGCGUCCACGGCUAGCACAAGCAGGCUGCUCAAGAAGAACCCCAUGGCCAACGUCGUCAGGAAGAGCCCCGUGCUCAUGGACUUCAUCCGCUCGGGUGCCUCCCGGCCGGAUGAAGAACUCGAGCUGCCCCACGUACGCGAACGCCUCGCCGGCGGCCACCAGGAAGAACUGGGCCACCAGCCAGAACGCGCUCACUGGGCCGCCGUUCGAAGACUCUUGUGCGGCGGAGACGUCCCUACGCUUCUUCUCGACGAGCGUGGCGACGGCCAUGGCGAGCGUGGCGAGGGCGAGCCCCGCGGCGACGCGCUGCAGGGAGGUGAGCCCAUGGGCCCGGCCCGUGAGGCGGCCCGCGAGCGGCACCAGGAGGCGCACAUUGAGCGAGGUGAAGAGGAGGAUGGAGAGGAAGAGGAACACGGAGAGGGACCCUGCUGGGACGGCGAAGCCUGCGCCGCCCACGCGGCGGUCCAUCUGCUCCGCCUGCUCGAUGGAGAAGGUGGUCAUCUGGGAGUAGAUGGUCCAGAAGAGUAUGCACGUGGACCAGAUGGGGAGCAGCUUCGCCACCAUGCAUCUUCACCUCCUCCACCUCCGCCACCGCCGUCGUCGUCGCCAGGUCGGCCUCCACGAUGGCUGCUUUGUCCAGGCACCUGUACAGAGGAAAAUUGACGGUCAAAACCCAAGCUACGCUCCAUCCAUCGUCCAUGAUCCAACAUGUUUUACGAUCCAAUCGUCCAUGCAUGAGCUAGUUGGCGGACGUCCGCCCAGGUGAAUAUGAGGAUUCCGACCAACUCAAGGAAGGAGGAGAGCCGCCGCCGUUGACCCGCCGGCCGGCGCUGGCCCAACCGGUUAUCUCCCGCCACCCGUGGCCGGCGUGCUCCCGCGACGCCUCGCCGCCCUGCCUUGCUCCAUCCGCCGCCACCGCCGAUCUGCCACCGCCCCAGCCAUCCUCCUACGCCCGGAAAUCGUGUGUUUUCUCCGACGCUGGCGGCACAUUCCUCACCCCCAACCCUAAGUUAGGGUCAUCGAGGGUUGGCUCUAAUCCACCAUCACCUGCUUGCCUCCGCCGUCACCGCCGUGGCCAGCCGCGGUGUCGCCGUUCCGGCUCGAGCUCUCUUCUGCGCCGCUCGGGAGGAAGGGGAGGGAAGCAAUCGCUGGGAAGGGAGAGAAUCAGGACUCGGGAGAGAUGACGAAGGAAACUGGGAAGGAGAAUCGGGAGAGAUAAGGAAGAGGUGGGGCCCUGUUAGGAUAAUCUUGAGUCUGAGUCGAGUCUAGCUAGGCGCAUGUGUUUGUGUCCUAAUCAGAUUAGGAGCGUGUCUAUGCGUGAGUUAGUGUUCGUGUGCAUGUGUGGUUCAGCGUGGGUCUCUGUGUUCGAGUGGGAUUAGUAGUCCGUGUGUGUUUAGGUGUUCUGGACAACCGUGUGUGUGUAUAUAAUGCAUAUAAUGCUGGGUUGUAAGGUCGUGAGUUUUGAGUUCAGAGAAAUAAAAAAAAGAAGGUACGUCACGUGCCCUUGCAAUUAUCCGGUGAUCGUCGUGUGCGUGUGCGUUUUUAUGUGAUUGAUACUUGAGCAAACCCAACAGGCCCACGCUGGACUUUUUGCAGAUACAACUAACCGCGCCGCGCGGUUAGACGCCAAACAAGGAAUCCGGUUAGUAUGUUUAGUGCAAAUCAUUUCAUAAGACACAACUCUCGAGCCUCGACGACUCUUCUUUUUUCCUACGCUGCAAUUCUGCAUGCAAAACAUCCACAUGGAUGCAUGGUGCAUUCUGCUAUGCAUGCAUGCCUGAUGGCAGCAAGGUUUCAGUAUGGAGCAGAAUAAUCUGUAGUGCUCCCAAAAAUGUAUCGAAGAUUGGCCCCAAAAUUGUCAUCAAACAUGCAUACUACGUUCACUAGUGGCGCCGGCCGUUUUGUUUGGAGGUGGGUUUGUAUGGCAUGUCGGCCUGGCUCCUUCGGUCUCCAACUUCAAAUGCUUAGUUGCAUAUGCAUCAAACGUGCAUUGGGCGCUUCGAGAUGUGUCUCGUAUGAUUCUGGCUUUACAAUGACGUAUACGCCAUCAUCCAAGAUAUCUCCAGUACCGCGUUCUGAAGUUUACUGACCAUCACCUCAUAUGCGAUCUGGCUCUCGCGAUUGGUCGUAAGUCCUUCGCUAGUUUGGCUUCGGACAAAGGGUGAGUCGUCUCUCGUGUGCUAAUAUGCCAUGUGUCGACGUACGUUAUGUGUGUGUGCAGUUCUAGUAAAAGAUCCACUAGUCUUGGAUUGGUUCUCAUGUUGGUUCCCAUUUCCUGGCAAGUGUCGCAGUGUUGGCACAACACGAUCGACUUCUGGACUUUAGCCUGUCCAUUAAUUUCGGCUGCUUCUGUUCCCACUCACGAGAGGAAGAAAACACUCGCUUAGUUCUAUUCUUGGACUCCUUUCAUAUGGACUACGUCCUACGUAUCAAACUUUUUGUCUGCGUUUCAUCCCACAGGAUCCAAACGCAGAGCACGUCUCAUACUCUCAUAUAUACGUGUGAGAGUGUGGUGAUCUGCUAAUACUCUAAAACUCUUGUUUGCUACGAGACAAUUACUUCAGAACUCAGAAGUAACCAAAUGCUCCAAAUGUACUAUACUCAAAAUUUCCAAAGCCAAGUUUGGACAUGCAUGCUAACAACUCUGAAAAAAAUGAUUUCUGAUUUCUAGUACUGUAUUUUAACUAGAGCGAUUGUUUGCUGUUAAAAAAAAACUAGAGCAAUUGUCAUUUCCGUUAGAAUUAUUACUACGUACCUGAGCGUCCGUGUGUGGCAGUUUGGCCAUAUGGAAUCCACGGAGCUCGCGGGCAUCGGCGGGGCACGGCAGCCUCCGGUUCCUCCAGGCCGCCCACAGGACGCGGCCGAUCACCGUGAGCGGGCUCCCGGCCCUGGGGCAUCCGGUACCUCGGCGCCCCCGCCACGAGCACGCCCACGACGGCCGCCAUGGCGAGCGCCGACACGCCGUACCCCCAGCCUCGCCCGACGUUGUCCUGCACGUACAUCAGCACGGUGACCGCGAAGAGCAACCCCGUGAUGCAGAAGUAGAAGCGUUUGAAGAAGAACAUCAUGGCCCGCUGCUCCCUCGCGUCCAGUUGUCGUGCUCCGGGGUGGCGCGAGGCGGCUCGUGCCACAGGAGCACCUGGAGCGCGUCGAGGGCCUCGGGCCUGGUGCGGAUCCCCUCGGGUCGCUCCUGGCGUUCUCCGCGCUCGCCUGACGACGGGCGCGGCUGGUUGAUGGGGAUAUGGCUGUUCGAGUCAGCCAAACCCGUGCGGUGCGAGCCAAGCAGGCGCUCGUUCCCACGACAGGGAUGCGGGUCCUCUGCCGCAUGCAGGGGGUCAUUCGAGGGGUUUUGCAGCCCUAGCUCACCCCGUCCCCUCCACCGGCACCCCUCGACAGACCAGGAAGUGGCGCAAGCCUCAACGCACGCUCGGCAGAAGUCCCAGCCCCGGGGAACGGGGGAGGCGGUGGCAGCUCCCCAUGCGGCUGCGGCAGCAACGCUCCCCUUUCUUGGGGUCGUGAGCGACCGGGCGCUUCCGGCGACCGGGUGUGCUUUGCGGUGGGUCUUCAGUGACAGCCUUGGAGUCCUUCCGGGGAGCCAUCAAUGUCAUACCGCUCGCCUCGCUUGCCCAACCCUCCUAUUCCUCUACUUGAAGAUGCUCCUUGCUACUUUCUUCGUGCUGCCUUUUUUUUUUGGCUCUAUGUUGGCCUUAGCCCUCCUUUUAUACUGCAACGGCGGAGCUACGUGGAGGCUAACCUGGGCCACAACCCCCCCUUUGAAAAGUGCAAAAAUUAAUUAACUAGGGAUCUUCAGGCCCAGCCCAUGAACAAGGGAGUCCAACACCACGCACGCAGCCUCUCCCUCGCACGUUCUCCUUGUCUUCUCAUCGCCGCUUCCUGUUUCUCCCUCCAGGCACCGACGCACGGGCUAUUACCAAUUCCCAAAUCCCUAAUUCCCCUCCUUUCUUGCUCAGUUCUCACGCUCUGGUGUCAUCCACGGACUGCAGCAGCACUCAAGCUGGGCGCUGGCAGGCAACGUGUGCCCGUCCUACGGCCUGGAUGAACACCCACGCCUGCAGCACGCACACCCGCACACGGCUCACCGCCAGCCCGUCCUACGGCCAACACACGAGCAGGACUGAUGCCCGCGGGAGCACUGUUUCUGCUUAGUAUGUCCUAUUGCCUUGAUUCUUUGUGAAUUCUGAAUAUUUGAGAUAUUCUUGAUUGGUCAUAAUUGAACAAAAGGAAAAAGAGAUGAAGAAAUUGGUGAACAUAAAUCUGCUCCUGGUUUAUAUAAAGAAAAAUGGGGAAACAACCUUGGAAGCAGCUUGCUGCUACAAGUAGAACGAUAAGCAGAUAUAUGUGCACUGGGUUAGGGCUCUUUUCCUAUUUACUUUGCCGCUUGCAGCUUGCCUAAUGCUGGCUGAGAUGCUCUGUUCCUUUUCUGUUUGCGCUGCUAAGACCUUUGUAAAAACUUCUGGUUUCUCUAAAAGAAAUCGAAUAGGAAAAACCUCUCUUUUUCACAAAAAAAUGUACACUGGGUAUUUCUAUGAGCAGUUAAAUAUAUCACCAUUAUGUCAUUGCUCACUAAUUAUUCCUUAUAUAUGUUCUAUCACUUGGCAUGUGUCCGCCACUGACUACAAGGGAAUACUACACCGGGGCACGCUAGCUUAACAAGUGUCGUGGGCUAAGCGGGGCGGUGCAGGCGUCGGAGCCUUUGCUCCACGCGGCUCCCUGGGCCCUGCACCGACGGGACUGGAUGCGCCGAUCAGUUCUGCGGGCCUGCAGGGUCUUGUCUUGUCGAUGUACAUCAGGGAUUCCUGCCCUGCGCCUCCAAUGGCCCUGCCUCUGCACCUCCUGCGUACUUGAGUGCGCGAAGGUCUUGAACGUCCCGCGGCUACGGCCCCACGUUACGCGCGCAAGUUUCCCCUCGGGCCCACCCCUGCCGGGGGCACUUGCCAGUUCGGGUGGGCACGCUUCCAUCUCCCCCGCUGUCGUGGCGGUGUCACGACAGAUGCCAUGUGAUGACUUGAGUUGGGGCCGAUGGACGAUGGUGGAUCCGGAGGAGGGAUGACGUAGAGUAAUCACGCACAACUCAGAGAGGACAUGAUGUUUACCCAGGUUCGGAGCCCUCCUGUAUCUAAGGGAGGAACCCCUCUCAUAGGAGAGGUGAAGCCUCUAUUUAUAGGCUAGGAAAGUUACACUGACGAGUGGGACAAGGGAAAACCCUAACUACCCCCGGGCCCGCCGGGUAUGCCCAUGGUCCCCUCCGGAUUGUCCGGGAGGGGACAACGCAGCUUUGUGCUUUUCGUACCGUGAGGUGACGCGCACUGUAGCCAUGCUUUGGCUCUCGUCACCGUCCUUCUACGGCGCGUCACUGUGCUGUCAUCCAACACGGCGACGUGAGUAAUGACUGCUUUUCCGUCAUCAAAGGAGCGUAGCUUUACUUUAGGCCGUGCGAUUCGGAUAAAACUGUUGGCAUAUCCCGGUUCCAACCGACAUAAUAUAGCUUGUGCUUGUCCUGCAAUCACAUGCGGCAAGAUAGAGAUACCGGCAUACUUUUGGUAUGCCGGCCUAUUAGAAAGUUGGCUUAACUGUGUCGGCUUACUUGCUUACACUGACCUUGCUCUUGUUUAGCCGGCCAAUAUAUGUCGUCAUGACCUACCCGGGGUCAUUCCCCCAACAUCUGUGCGAGGCCCGCGAGGGUGGAGUGUUCGUGAGCCCGAGCUUUGUGCCUCAGCCCACGUGCCCGGGUAGAUUUGCAGCCCUGAGUAUAAGUGGCUAUCAGGCCGGCCCGGCCCCAACUAAACGGGCCUAGCCCGGGCACGGCCCCCCCAAGGCCGACAAUAAAGGGGCCGGGCCGGCACCAAAUGGCCAUCUCAAGGCCCAGGCGUGGCACCAACCACUCGGGACAGCCACGCCCCCCUAAGCCCAACGGGCCUGAAAGAAAAGCCCGUGGAAAACUCAGCCCAGCGGCCUUUUUAGAUUGUGCCAGCCAGUUGAAAUGGGUCAAAAACAGCCUUGUGCCUAUAACUAGCGUAAUAGGGGCCAGUUCUUUUCGGCUUCCUGGAGCGGCUUUCUCAGAGAAGCCGGGUUUAGAAGCCGAAAAGAACACACCCUAGGUACCUUGGUCUAGUGGUCAGCAAGCCAAAGGAGUAAUAGGAGGUCCAGGGUUCGAUCGUUGACAUAAGAAACCAAUUGCUAAUCGGGCCGGGCCGACCCGUCGGGCCUGAGGACCCGGUGCGCAAUUAUGACUCGAGGGCCUUAAUACAAUAUCAUAACAAUAACUAAUGUGUGUGUAUAUAAAAUUUCACCAACAAACAUUCAUCUGGAUUUCUCGCUACGCUUGACCUGCUUGCGUUACUCUUCAAUUUUUUUUCCAUUUUAUCCUUUAUGCAAUUUUAUCACGUCAUCAUCCCGUUUCUUUCUUUUUCUUUUCUCACCGCCAGAUGAAUACUUUCUAGAUGAUGAUUGAUUCAUAGUUCUGAAAUUUAAUGAGACUAUAAAAUUUACAAAUUGAAAACGUAUAAAAAAUUAAAGAUCAAAGACGCAAGCAUGGAAAGAUAGCUACUUCGUACUACAAUCGCUCACCUGCAGCCA